UACAAUCUUGCCUUUAUAUACGACCCAUCAUGUCCCCUCAUGCCUCAUAUCCAACUCUCUUUCCUACUCUUUCUUUGCUACUUUAGCUUCUUAGCAACUAUGCUUCUAGCAAAAAUAUUUUAGCUAGAGCUACUACCGUUCAUUUUUUCUUUAUCUGUCAAGAUGAUAGGCACCCACCGGCAAGGCUCCGGCGGCUUUGGCAAAGGCUAUAAAGGAAGUCAUGGGUGGCUGUGCUGGCACGCUGAAGGAGGGGUAAUCUUUUGUGUAUAUAUUGAUGAAACGUGAUGGCAAAAGAACAGCAGAAAUAGAAACAAGGCUUUGCAAUUGCACUCUCCUGAGUUUCUAGCCCUAGUGAAAGGGCAGAAUUGGGAGAGUGACAUUAUUGCAUCGCGGGGAAUUGAGGGUAGCGGUCCGAUUUACCUUCCUUUUAGGUCUUAACUUUCUUUUUAUUCCUUGUUUAACCUUAUGUCUUCCUGUUUAUUUACAUCUUUGCCUUUUCUCUCUCUCUCUCUUUCUUCUUUCUUCUUUCUUCUUUCCUGGUUCAUGUUAUAAAACAUGGGAUGUAAGAGUUGCAUACGAGGUAGCAAGCUAAGGUAAGUUUUCAUAGAAGCGUAGGUGUUGAAUUAAGGUUGAUUUCAGGGUGUGGAAAUGCUUGUAAUAUAUAUGCUGCUGGGCAUGCAUCGCUUACACAUAUCAUGUAUUUGCUUUGUUUUUAUGAUUUGGUGAUCAAAGAAAAUGACUUCACUUUCCCUUAACUUUCUUUCUCUGCGGUUUUGUUUUCUCUCUUACAUCACAGACAUUCGAUUAUUCUAUUAGUUUACAAGUCAAACACUUUAUAAAAAAUUUCAUGCUAUAGAUUGCACGCAUCCGUUCUAAAUAUGUGUUAAGAGAAAAACAUAUAAGCUGUGAAUAAUCGUUGUCAAGUAGAGAUUUGAUGGGAGCAUAUGAUACUUUGAAUUGAUGAAAAUUUUAUUUGAUCCUUCAGAACUUGUGGCUUAAAGCACAGAUAUGCAGCUGGCCUAAGCUUAAAUAUCUGUGCCUUGAAUUGUGAACUUGUUUGCAUUUUGUGUUUUAGCCAACUCUCCAUCUUUAUUCAAAGUAAAAUCAAGAGGAAAUCCUUCAGCAAAAAAUGAACCAUUUGACUGAUAGAAUCUUGGGUUUACAAAAAAAUUUGUAUUGUAUUUAUCACAGGUAUAAUUAACUAGUCAAACACUCAUUUUCAAAAUUUCGUAUUAAAUUGCACUCCAAGGCUUAGUCUGGUGAAAAGUGCAUCCUGUAACCUUGAAAGGUCUAAGGUUCGACUCCCCCAACCCCUAUUUCAAAAAAAAAAAAAAAUUUCGUAUUAAAUUAUUAAAAAUUUACUAAUUAAUCUCUUAAUAUCAGCUUAUUUUAUAUUUUUUAUAAUAUUUAAAGAUUAAAAUUAACAGAAAUAUUAACUUACAUACUUUUUAAAAUAUUAUAGACGUUACAAAUACAACUUCUAUUACAACUUCUAUUAAAUUUUAACUUUUUACUUUUAAUAAUUUAAAUUUUAUAUAUUUUAAUUUUUAUUAUCUUUGCUGAAUUUGAAUAUUAAAUUUAUUAAAAUUUUUAUUUAUUUAUAGAGAUUGAAUUUAAAAUUUAAAUUUCAAGAACUAAAGUGUUGAAUUUAAAAAAUAGAGAAAUAAAUCUGUUAAUUAUGUAAUAUCUUAGAGACGAAAACAUAUUUUUUCUUUUAAUUUUUUGAAAGAAAAACCUAUAAAUUUAGGAGAAUUAAAUUUCAGAGACUAAAAUAUUGGAUUCUUGUGAUGUGUUCUAAAAAGACAGUUCGAUCAUUUUUAGUGAUAUUUUUUACGGAGAAACUUUUAAUUUUAACAGAAUUAAAAUGGAGGAUGAAAGUAUUACAUUUUAAAAAUAGAGAAACGAAUUUAUUAAUUAUGAUAUAUUUUUGGGUUAAAAAGUAAUUUUUCCUUUAGAAAAUGGUAAAAAGUAUUGUCCUUCUUUUCUUCAGAAGAAAAGUAUUGGCAAUUACAUUAUUGCCGGUUGCCACAACCCUUCUACAGAGUUAGUGGCUGCUCACAGAUUCAUAUAACCACACUAGGCCAACUGAUUAAACUGUGGACACAGCAAAAGUUGCAAAAUAUUAAUAUUCAACACAUUUCCACUCGCUUAAUCUUAACAAAGCUUAUCCAUAAGGAAUGAAGUCCACUCUUGUCUGUGUGAAAAAGAAAACAGUCUGAUCCAUUUUUUAUUCUAAUUCUGUUUCUUACAAUCUCUUCUCAAGUAAAAGGCUACCUUAAUCCCAGUUCUUGGAAGCCAACUGUUGAGGCAAUUCCAUGAACACUUGGUAAAAAGAGCUUUGGUGUGCAAAUACAGACACAGGACACGAGUACACAAAAUGGAUAUGCAUGUCAAGAAGCAAACUCUCAGCACGAUAUUCUAUUUUGCUUUGAAAGAUUGGCAAAAACAGAGAUUUAUCUGUUGCAUGUAAAGAUGAGGACAUUCAAGUUGUCUGAAACUUUUACUGAGAGCUUUUUCAGCAGCAAAAAUACAGGACCUGGCGGAGCUAAAGGAUUUGGACCUUUUGGAAGUUAUCAAAUAACAAGAAGAGAUAAACACAUUAGAAAUUCAUCUAUAUGCAGUGGCUUAAAAUUAUUUAACAGUUACUUAUUAUUUGCCCUUCCCCUUCUCAUUAUCUUCUGUAGAUAACAACUGUUAUUCUACACGCUGUGCUCCACUGUUUCAGAUAUCAGCAACUCUGUCGAAGAAUCUGAUUGAGGCUCUUCCACAGCAAUGUGAUCAGGGAAAGACAAAGGACUAGGAGGCAGUUGCAUAUCAUCAAUGCUACUACUUAACAUUUCCACAACUUUGGCCAUCAAUGGCCGAUCAGAUGCAUUCUCUUGGAUGCACCAUAACCCGACUACACAUAAUUUUUUUGCUAUUGCAGCCUCGGUCUCACUAACAUUGUCAAGCUCUAAAUCUCCUUCCCCGUUUAGACGGUCAUAAACCCACGAUGGGAAAUAUACUUUGCUUGAACUAUUUCCCUUUGCAUCAGUGUUCCUUCUUCCUCGAGCCAUUUCCAACAAUAACAUUCCAAAACUAUAGACAUCUGAUUUGCAAGAAACAGCUCCAAGGUUGUUUGACAUCAACUCAGGAGCAAUGUACCCCAUAGUUCCUCUUGCAGUACUGACCAACACAAAAUCAUAUUCUUUGGGGUAAAAUUUUGCAAGACCAAAAUCGGAAACUUUAGGGAUGAAGUUAUGGUCAAGCAGGACAUUAUGAGGCUUGAUAUCAAAAUGAAGAAUGCACACAUCACAUCCUGUAUGUAGGUGCUCAAUUCCUUGUGCUGUCCCUACAGCAAUUCGAAGAAGUCUCUCCCAACUCAAUGGCUGAAGUUCUGUUUCUCCAGCAAAUAUGUACUUAUCAAGAGACCUAUUAACCAUAUACUCAAAGAGAAGAGCACGAUAAGAUCCAUCGCAACAGAAUCCCACCAACUGUAUUACAUGAGCAUGAUGAAUUUUACCAAUUGUGAAGACUUCAUUAAUGAAGUCUACAUCACUGCACUUGGAGUUGCCGAGCAUUUUAACAGCAACUGAAAAGCCAUCAGGAAGUUGUCCUUUGUACACUGUCCCAAAGCCACCUUGGCCUAAUUUAUCUUUGAAAUUGUCUGUAAUUGCAAUCAAAUCAGAGUAAGAGUACCUUCUGGGCAUCAAGGAUCGUUGACUCGGUAGAAAGUUCUCCUUGUUAUCUUCAGCCUUCUUUGCUGUUCUGUGUCUGUAAAUUAGGAAUCCAACUAUAACUAUUGGAGCAAGGAUGAAUCUCGCAAUCAGAUUUAUGCCUGACCGAGCAAAAGAAGGAAACUUGUUAAUUAGUUCAAAAACAUCACAAUCACAUUGUCAAGUGCAAAAUUUUCAAUUUGGGAUAAUUACCUAACAAAAUAUCCCAAAUAGCAUAAAUGAUACUUGAAACCAGAGGGGGUACAUGUAUGCCUGCACAACCACACAAGAAAUGAAAAAUUAAGUCCCCACCAGCACAAAUCAAGAAACAAAGUCGUACACCAUUAGAGAGUAGUUGAAGAAAGAAGGAAUAUCAACCUGAAAAGUGGCAUUCAUAGAUAUUUGGUGUACCCAAUGAGCUCAAACUGCAGGAACCACCGUCUGCAAUGCAAUCCCGGCACUCAACAGACCAUUCAAGAUCAAACCCUAACGCCAUCAAUUCCAAGAUACUUUCAUAAGAAGGGUACCAUACAGCCUGGUAAAUUGUGGGAACCCUCGAAGUGAAGGAACAGUAACCUUGAAGAUCAGAUAUUAUAUAUGUGCCAUAACUAACAUAAAAAUGAGAACCAUUUCCGCUCAAACAAGGAACUUUCCUAUAAGCUGGAUCAUUGAUCUCGCUUGAACAUCUGAAGAAACUGGCAAACGUACUAGAUACCAAUCCCCUAUAGCGACUAUCAUACUUUACCUCAUUAAUUGAUACUGACUUGUACGGCAGGUUGCAGCUACCAUUGGCUAAGUUAAUAUCAACCAGUCGGAUUAUAUGCCUGUCAUAGGAAAUUUGCUUGACGAAAUACUUCCCUGAGUGAAAUUCCAAAAUGGGUUUGUUGUCCUGGCAAGAAAUUUGAUAGUCUGGAUCUCCACACUUGACUGGAUCGGUGGUUAGGCGAAAUGGGUAAGUGAUGUUGGUGAGAUCACCACACGAGGAAGAGCAAAUUUGUUGGAGAACUCUUGCUUCAACUUCAAUUGUAGAUAGAAAGAUGAAGAGGGAAAGCACAAGAAGAGUGGAAAUCGUCGGUGACUCUUGCUUUUUCAUAGUUAAGGAUAAGAAAUUCAGAUGAGUUUUCAUUUCAGCUGCUAUCUUCUGACAGCAAACUGUGCUUUAGCGGAGUCUGUAGAGUGGAGGAAGUCUAAACUCAUCAGUGGGUUCAAGUGCUCAGUUGAGUGAAAUAUUAAAUACAUUUUAAUAAAUUAAUUAAUAAUAAAUUUAUAAUAUAUAAAUUAACAAUAAAUUUUUUUAAAAAUAAAUAAUUAAAAUAUGUAUUUUUAUUAAUAGAAUGCAAUAAUUAAAUGAUUCAGACUUAUAUGAAUCUGAAAAUUCUACUCUUUUCAUCCUUAAUUUUAAAAAAAUAAUAAUUAAAAUAAAUUUAAUUUAUAAUUUACAAGUAAAAUGAAAAUAAUUAUUUUAUUAAUAAAAUAAUAUUUAAAGACUUGACAUGUUAAUCAAGCAAUUGGACCUGUGGAAACUGGAAAGGUACGUGGUCUUUGCAAGAAGGGACAGAAGACCAAGACUUCUACUCUUUGUUUUUUGUUUUUUUAUCUGACAAUACUUCUACCCGGUGGUUGUCUAUCAAAGUCGAUUGACUGAAGGGUUUCUCGGAACUCUCUUAUAAAUAAAAAUAUAACUUGAUUUACUUACCUAAUUACCCUUUUUAAUCUUAUUUCACUCAAUAAUAUCAUAAAAAUUUAUAGUUUUGAAUUCUGCAUCUCAAUUUAUAUUGUUGUGUCUAUGAUUUUUUUUUUAAAGGAUGUAUAUACCAUAUAUUAAAAAUAAAAUAAAUAAGAUUAUUUAAAAUAUCUAAUGCGAUUAAAGAUAAAAAAAAAAAAUUUGUAUCAUCUUUACAAUGCGAUUAUAUAGGCAUUAUUUAUUUAUGUUUAUUUGUAUGGGAGUUGGGCUUUAAAAUUUUAUUAGGAUACCCAUUUUGCUUGCAUUUUCAAAGGGCAUUGAAUAUAAGAUCACCACUUGUGGGCCUUCUUCUCCUCUACCCAACGACAGUGACCUAGGUUCAUGCUCAUCAAUAAGUCUUCACUAAGCUUUCUACGUGACUUGAAUGGUUAAAAUUUAAUGGCUAAAUAGUUAGCUUUUUGCGCAUUCUUCCUUCAGCCUUAAAUAGGAUGCGUUGAGGACACAUCUCAAGUGAAGGCUGUAGGCCAUGCAACUAGGACUAUAAUUGAGGCCUCCUCGUAGGUCCCAUCUACGCCUCCAUCCAAAAUUAAAUAACUUAAUUAUUAUUUAUUUUAAAGUAUUUAUUGAUGGUUUAAAAAAAAAAAAAAACAACCUUCAAAUUCAGAAUUUUAUUUAAAUUAAAAAAAUAUAUAUUUGCUUGUCAAUACAUUGCAUCUGCAGCGAUCAUAAAUUAUCUGAAUUGUAUUUCAUUUUGGCUUAGAAAGAUCAAAAGAAUUUUCCCUUCCCCUGUAUAGCGAAAUAUUUACCUAAGACUUAACAAAUAUGAUACCAAAAAAUUAUAAAAAUUUUGAUUAUAUAAAUAUAUUAAUUGGUGUUGCUGAAAAUACUUUUAAAACAUUUUUAAUGUGAUUUAAUAAUUUAUAAAAAAAUAAAAGCGAGAUGAUUAAUAUUUAAAAAUGUCUAUUUUAAUAUUUAAACUAAUAAUCUAUUUGAUCGAGCGAGUGAAAUAAUAAAUAAGAGCAACAUAAAUAAAUAAUAGAAUGUGUAUUUAUUUGAUUUUACACUGAAAAUUCAAUUUACACUGACAAAUGGAUAAUAAAUUUCAUAAUAACUCAGAUUAUAUGAAUUAUUUUAUAACAUUCUAUGAUAAAAAUAAAAAAUAAAAAUUAUAAUGACUUUACCAACUCUCUACCGAUUUUUGUCAAAACCGAACAUCCUUAAAUCAAUUACCUUAAUUUCAUAUUUUUAAAUGGUCAAUAUCAAAAAUAUCUCACUUGAAUUAAUAAAAAAUGAUCGGCGUAUAAUACAUUCUAGACGAAUAUCAAAUCAUAUCACUAAUAAAUUUAAUAAUAUAUAAUCUAAGAAAUUAAGUGACAAAGGAUAUUAUUAUUAUUAUAAAUCAUACUUACAAUGUAUAUCAAUGUUAAGAACAAAAUUAUUAUAUUUAGGUUCUCUUUGUAUUAUCAAGACUAUUUUUUAUAUUUUUAACGCUUAAUACAUUUAAAAAAACUAUUAAUAAAAAAUACUUUUAAAAAAAAAUUAAAUUAUUUUUUAAAAUAAUAAUAAUAAUAAAAUCAUUUAUACACUUUGAAAAAUUUUACAUAUAAAUUUGUUACUAUAUUUUAUUUUUUUAAAUUAAAAAAUAGUCUAAAUUGUUAUUGUACUUUUGUGUUUGUUAAAAUUAAUUAUUGAAUCACUAAAUUUAAAUUCUAUACUUUUUUAAAAAGUUUAAGAGUAGCCAUUAGCCAAUUUUUUAUUUAUUCCAAAUCAUAACGCCUGAAUAAUAUAAAGAUUUAAAAUUAUAAAAAUUAUAUAAUUUAUAAAAAUUAAAUUAUAUAAAUCUUUUCAAAAUUUAAAAAAUUAUUUUCUUUAAUAAAAUGACUAAAGGUUUAAUUCACAAAAUAUAUAAAUAUUUAAUAUGAGAAAUUGAAAAUAAAGAUAAGUAGUCAAUUGUGAUGAAACACUAAUAAUUCUCACUCUGUCAUAUUUUUUAAAUAAAAUUAUUAUUAUUAUUAUUUUAAAAACAUUUCAUUUGAAUGAAUAUUAAAAAUUUUUAAUAUACACAUUGUUAUAGUUAAAAAAUAAUUUCCUCUUAUUUCACCCGAUUUUUUAGUAUAUAUAAAAAUAAAAAUAAUAUAAAAUAUAAUCUUAUUUAAAAAAUUAAAAAAAAUUAAUCGAUAAAUCAAAUCAAAUAAAUUAAAAAUUAAAAUUUUAAUAUUUAUAAAAAUUAAAUCCAUUUGAAUUAAAAAUCAAAUCAAAUUAAAUUAAUUAAUUCAAUUGAUCAGUUUAAAUUUUUAAUAAAUUUUUAAUAAAUUUUUUAUAUUUUAUAUUUUACACUUUACUUUUAAUAUUUUAAAAUUUAAUUAAAAUAUUUUAAAAUUAAAUCAAAUCAAAAUAAUUUAAAUUUUUAAAAUUAAAAAUUAAAUCAAAUCAAAAUUUUAAAUUAAUUUAUUUCAAAAUAAUAGUCAUCCCUACCCACAUCCUUACACAACCCCUUGCAGCUACCCUAUCCAAUUACACAAUUUCCUUCUUUUCUUUUUUUUUUUUCUUUUCUUUUCUUUUCUUUUUUCUUUUCUUUUGUNNNNNNNNNNNNNNNNNNNNNNNNNNNNNNNNNNNNNNNNNNNNNNNNNNNNNNNNNNNNNNNNNNNNNNNNNNNNNNNNNNNNNNNNNNNNNNNNNNNNNNNNNNNNNNNNNNNNNNNNNNNNNNNNNNNNNNNNNNNNNNNNNNNNNNNNNNNNNNNNNNNNNNNNNNNNNNNNNNNNNNNNNNNNNNNNNNNNNNNNNNNNNNNNNNNNNNNNNNNNNNNNNNNNNNNNNNNNNNNNNNNNNNNNNNNNNNNNNNNNNNNNNNNNNNNNNNNNNNNNNNNNNNNNNNNNNNNNNNNNNNNNNNNNNNNNNNNNNNNNNNAACGGGGGAGAGAAGAAAAAGAACCCGUAGCCAUAAGGUAAGAGCUCUCAAAAAGAAGAAAAAAGAAAAUUCAAAAGCGAAAAGUGGAAAAAGAAACUGCCUUCAACCACCGUUGAUCGGCUGAUCAUACCUCAUCUCAUCAACAUCCGCCGAUCGACAUGCAAUAAACAUCAUGACCCGUUCGCAGCUUUAUCUCAUAGAAAACCAAUCCAUUAAAUCCUCACCCACGCGUUUCCGUGUGAAAUCGACGCGCUCAUCAGAUACCAGCGGCGACCGGCAUAGAGGACAGUUGAAAUUGAGAUGAUCAAGCCAGCCAUCAAAGCAUUCCUUGUGAAAAACAUGGCAACAAUCAAGCUUCCUUACCUGGUCCCCAUCUCUUAAGGUGGACAAGCACACCACACAAUCCGAUCCCCCCUUAUUGGCACUAUUAAAAUCAUCUCCGCCUCCACAGCAGUACCUGUAAGAGAAAACGCGGUUGAGAUUAAGCUGCUCGGCGAGGACGAUGAGGCCAGCGAGUCCAGAGCCCACGAGGCCAUCAUCGACUACGGCAUGGGAAGGGCCGAAACGCGAAAGACCCAAGGAGUGGAAGAGGGCGAAAAGUAAAGAGCGGAGGUGAUCGACGAAUUUAGCAACGACAGCUAGCAACAACAACGGGAUUGAAUCAGAGGAUACGUCGUUGAGGUGGCUCUGUAAGCCCAUCUUCUUCUUCUUCCUCUGGGUCUUGGUCAGCUAUCGGCGUGUUGAAGGGAAAGAGAGAGGUUGGGUUACUUUUCAUAGAAAGCAAGGGCUGUGCAUAUUUAUAAGCAGUAAAUGAGAACGGGGAAGUCUAAAAAAGGUCGUGGAGAGGUUGAAGCUCGCGGGUCUCCUAUUCAGUGCGAGAGAGAAACAUUGGGUCUCAUUCUCAUCAAAUGCCAUGUGUGGUGGGCCCUGUAGAAAAUUGUCUUUUUGUUUUAUUUUUUAAUUUAUUGUAACUUGUAAGGAUGAGAUGUCAUUCCAUGUACGCGUAUUUAUUGUAUGCUUGUAUGUAUUUUUCUUAAAAGCAUUUUUUAUACACGUAUGCUAAUGAUUCAUUAAUAAUAUUCAUGAAAAUUAUUAAUCAGAGAGUUUUAAUUUUACGGUAAAAAGAGCUUUUCCAGAAUAUUCUGAGAAGCAGUUACUGGAAAAGAAAAGCCAUCGGCGGCAUUAAUUUGUUGGAAGUUGAACUGCCCUGUCCUUUCGAUGACUGUAACUUACAAGCAAGGAAUUCCCUUUUGUUUUCUUUUUUAUUUUGCUACAUGUAGGAGAAAAAGUUAAAAAUGUAAUAGAAGCCAAAGAAUGCCGCAACUUUAGUAUCCAUGCCAACUUGUUUCUGUUUCUUUCCUUCCAGAAGCUAGCUUAACCCCUCACCCCAAGUUGUUUCAAAUGAAUUAGCAGUCACCAUGCACAAAAAUUCAUAUCUGCAAUAUAUAUUGUCUAGACAUUGGUGCUUGUUCUCUCAUAGAGAUGCUGCGUUAUAGGUGGUAAUGAAUAUGAAAAUAUUAAACAAAAGCAAGCUUGCGUCCCCCAUGCCUCUUGCCACAUAAAGAAACCGACAAAUCUACUUUACUAAUUUGAGCACUCCUGCUUUUUAUUAAACUAUCGAUGAUACUGCCAAAAUUAAUCUAUUCAAAUUUUAAUUUCUUUAUCUAUAAAAUUUAAUUUCAUAAUUUAUAUAAAAAAUCAUAAACAUUAGUGAAUUAUUUAUAUAAACAGAGUUUAGUAAUGCAUACAAUACAUAAAAUUGAAAUUAAAUAAAAAAUCAACACAAAUAUUAUGUUUUAAAAAUGGAAUCGAUUUAAGUUUAAUUAUAUAUUACUUAAGUUAAUAUUAAUAAAAUUAAGUUAAAUUAGAUAUUCACAAAAAUUUAAUCAACAAAUAUCCCUAAAUUAAAAAUACUUCUUUAACUAGCCAAACAAACAGAAUUCCAAUACGUUUAUCUAGCUAUUAACAAAAAGAAAAUUAUAUUAUUUAUAUAUUAAUAAUUAAAAUAAUUUCAUUUCAUUACUUUGACUGUAACUUUUAAAUGUAUAUUUUUAGUCACUGAAAACAUAUCAUAAUAUUGAUAAUAUUUGAUAGGAUAUAAUAAUAAUUUAAAAUAAGUAUUAAUUGUAAUCUUGAAAUAAGUUUAUAUAAUCAGAGUCUGAUGAUCUAAUAUCUAUUUUUAUUUAUAAAAAAAAAAUUUUAAUACCAUAAUAUUUGAUUAUUCACUAAAAUUCAUCAUUUCUUAAACAUACUGAAUUUUCUAACGUAAAAUUAUUAUUAACAGAUAUAAUCUAAUAUAUUUUUAUUAUAUCUUUUAUUCAUUAGUUAUUAUUUGUUGAUUUUUAAAAAAUUUAAUAACUAGCUAUGCAUUUUUUCAAUAUAAACAUAAAUCAAAAUACAUAUUUUUACAUAUUUAUUUUGAAUUAUAAAUAAUUCAUUACAUUUAUUCAUUUUAUUAAUCAAUUGACUUGACUGACCGUCCAUAAAUAUGAACCGCUUCAUAUUUUUUCUUUUACAUAUUAAUUAAUUAUAGCUCAAUUUCAUUGUAGUCAUCAAUAUAAAAUUAACAAUAAAAAUUUUAUAUAAAAACAAUAUAUUUUUUUAGUAAUUUAAUUUAGUGAAUUGUAAUAAUUUCAUUAAUCAAUUUAAUUUGAUAAUAUUUAAAUUGAUGAUUUUAUAUUAAUUUAAAAUUAAUUAUUUUUAAAAUGCUAAUGUUAUAAUUUUAAAUUUCCAUUAAAAUUAUGGAAAAAUUUGAGCUUGUAUGAAUAAAUUUAAUAAAUUAAAUAUUUAUAUUUAAAUUUAUUAUGUUUAUUAUAUAAACUUUAAUUAUGUUAUUAGACUCAUUUUUAUAUAAUAGGAAUAUAUUGAAUGUAACCAUUAAAAAAAUAAUAUUUGCAACUUAAAAAAUUUAAACUCUAAUUAUUGGACAGAAGAGAAAAUGUCUUAUACCACAGGGCUGUGGAGUUAUUAUCAGAAAUUAUCUUGAUUCAUGAAUAGCAAUGUUGUCACUUUUUACCGUGCUUUCUCUCUUGUAGCUGAAAUUUAUGCUUUGAAAUUUCUUUGUCAGAGAGACUUCUCUCAAGUUACUGCUGUUGAGUUUCUUCUGCUCUUAUCUCUUGAAAGAUCAAAAUCUCUAUUGAUGAUGUUCACACGAUUUUAGUCGAUAAUCUAAAUUUUAAUAUUGUUCAUAUUUAUAAAUUAGCUGAUAGGUAUGCAGACUGGAUGGUCAAAAAUGCAAAAAAUUGAUCUCUCCCGUCCGGUGAGCUUCUAAUUCCCUCGUGAAUUGAACCUUCACCUCUUUAAGGAAUAUAUAACUGUUCCUCUCCCUGAAUAAUAGCUAUUUUUUCUCAUAAAAAAAUUUAAUAUUUAAAUUGCAUAAAUUAUAAAUUAAAAUAAAUAAAUGAAUAAAUUAUUUGUUGGCAUAAUUUCCAACGGAAAGCAAGUGUGUUGAAGACUUGGCGGCUUGGGCGGCGGAGAGAGACAGAAGGCAAUUAUGCUCCGACUGAGAGUGAGAUUUUGAUUCAUCUUUGCUCCGCUAAUUUACAAUUUAGUCCUUAAACUAUACUAUUUCUAAAUUUUGGCCAUGGAAACUAUACGAUAUGCGAUCUCCACCCUCAAUUAAUCUCUAUCUGCGUAUCCCCGUCUGCCUAAUUUCCUUUAUUUAAAUAAACAUUACUCUUUUUCUAACUAUAUCACGCCCAACUUUUACUUAACUUAAUUAAUUAUUUCUUUAAUUUUUCCAGCUUAAUAAUUCUUUCUAACUCGUAUAUAUUCAUAAUAUUCAAAUUUAAUUUUAAUUUUAAUAAAAAUAAUAUUUUAUUUAACCUCAUAAAAAUAUAUUUUUUUUAAAUUAAAUAAAUCCACAUAUUAAUAUAAAAAUAUUAAAACCUAUUAAGCUUUAAUUUUGACAUAUGUAUAUAUAAUUUAUGCAAAUGUAUUUUAAUAUUUUUAAUUACAAUUAUAAUAUUCCUAUACGUAGAAAAGAAUUAAUAUAUUUUGUCUUCUAGAAAAAUUGUAUUUUUUUUUUUUUGAAAAAACGUCAUUAUCAAACGCGUUUUGGAAGAGGUUUUGUUUGGUAGGUAAAAAUCCAGGUUGUUAGAUACGCGGCAAUUUAGGUUUAAAUUAAACCCUAAUAGUCCAUUCGAAGGAAUUAAUUUUGGGAAAUCGUAUUAAACAUAUAAAAUAAAAAGAAUUUUCUUGAAGGAUGAAGCAGUCAAAAAUAUAAAAUAAAAUAAUUGAGUAGAUAGUAAAUAUCUUUUUAAUAUUGGGGAAUAUAAAAUAGAAGGAAGUUUCUUGAAGGAAGAAGCAAUGAAGAAUAUAAAAUUAAACAGACAGGAAAAGCUCACUCUCAAAAUUGAAACCUAAAGAAUGUAGAGACACUGUGGUCCUUCACUCUCUAUUUCUCUCUUCUACUGCCCAAUUUUUCUUACUUAAUUAAUUUAAUUUUAUAAAAAAAUCAAUUAAUUUAAUGAUGGUGCUCUAUCUCAAUCAGCCAAUAAUACAAUAAUAAGAUAAAAUUUGGUUUAGAAGAGUCCAGAUGGAAUUUGAUUGAUUCAAAUGGUGAUAGUGAAAUUAUUAUUUAAUAUAUUUUUAAAAUUAAAAAAAUUACUUUAUGAAAAUUUUUAUAUUAUUUGCUUUAUUAUUAUUGUUAGGCGAAAUAAAAAGGUGAAUUUUUGUAAGAAAAUAAUUUGGUGAGAAAAUGAGUCCAGAAGAUUCUAAGAUAAUUAAGUAGAUGAAAACUUCUGCCUACCAUUCAUUGUACCUGCAAGUAAAAAUAAAUAAUUGAAAUUAUAUUAAAUACAAAAUCAAACCCUAAUUAGUCAAUAUGAAAUUCUUGAUUACUUGUUUACCCAAUAAUUAACAAAAAGAAAAAAGAAGUUUUGAAUAGGGAGAAAGAUAGAGAAAGAAAGCGAAAGGGGGACAGAAAAAGCUGUUCAAAACUUGUAUGGUUGCUCUUUCUAAUGGUGGUUUUUCAUUCCCUUCGUUGUGAUAUUUUGUGUUUUUCUUUCUCUGUUGCGGUAGAGAAUAAGUAUAUUCAUUGAUUAGAUGAGAGUGAGAAGUCAGAUUUACCUCAGCGACAAGCUUCUUCGAUAGCAAGGAAAGACUUCUGCUCUUUUUCUGGAUGUUGAUUUCUAGUUUGAACCGGUGCCUUGUUGAAGAUUUCUGGUUGGUUGGUCUUCUUCCCCAUCGUUGACGAUGGUUUGCGGUGGGUUUCUCAGCCAGAGAUGCAGAUAGCUACAACAUGGCAAAUGCUUUUAGGUUGUGAUUAGUCUGAUUGAUUUGAUCUAUAUUAAUCUGAUUUUUUUUUCUUAACUAUAAUUAUAAAAAAAAUGAUUUCCCAUAAACGUAAAGAUUAUUAUCUAUAACAAUUAACGUAGAAUUACUUUUAAAUUUAAUUAUAAUUAUAUUAUUCUUUUACAUCUUACAUAAUCAUUGAUUAAUGUAACUUUUUAAUAAAUUCUUUAAUUGACUAAAAAUAUAAAAAUUUAAAUAUAUAUUUACAGAAUAUAAUAAUUAAAACCAAACGUAAAAUAAUUUAUGUUAUACAAGCAUAAAAUUUAAAUAUAUAAAAAAUAAUAUAUUGUUAUUUAUUAUUAUUAAUUUCACUCAAUACAAAAAUUUAAAGUUUAUUUUUUAAAAUUAUUUGGAGAGAAAAACUGAUUGAUAUUCAUAAAUUAACCUAAUAAUAUAAUUGAAGUAUAGAUAUUACAUAUAUUAAAAAAUUAAAUAUAAAAUAAUAAUUAAUUAUGAGUCUCAAUAAAUUUAAAAAAUUUUAAAUUUUUUCGAUCUCAAAUUUUUAUUUUAAAAAAAAAUUAAUUAAUAAUAAAUUACUCUUGAUAAUUAGUAAUAUAUUUAUCAAAAACUAGAAUUUAUCUAAAUUUGUCAUGAAUUUUUCUUUUAAUAUUUUAAAUUAAUAUUUCUAAAAUUAUAAUAAUUCACGCACAAUUCAUUAUAAAAUUGCAAAUAAAUUUUGAUAUUUGAUAUAUGAAUAGUUUAUAUAUUAAAGUGAAAUAUGAAUUAGAGGUUUAUAUAAAUUUAGAAUCAAUAAUUUCAUAAGAAUUUAAUUUUUUUAUUUAAAAAAAUAUUAAAUAUUUUAUAAAAAGAAUUAAAAUUAUUUACAAUUUUAUAAUUUUUUUUUUCUAUAAAAUGAAUUGUGGUGAUAGAAGUCAAUGGAUGAGAGUUUGAUUGGAACUUGCCACCUAAAUGAGGCAUAGGUAUCAUUUUGGUUUGUGGGUCAUUGGAUUAUGAGUAAUGGCAAAGGAAAUAAUGGUGAAUUGAACCAAUCAAAUAAUUAGGAUGGAUUAUUGCAGUCAUAUUCAUAGAUUGUUGUGUUGGUUUGAUUAAGUUGAUGCCUUGAUAAGGGAGAGUAAGAAGAUUACAAAAUUGUAAUUGACAGGUUCAUGCACUCAGAGAAGUCCCAACCCUUGGGACAAGGUUCUUCAUACAUCAUAAAUUAGGGUCUGCAUUAGUAUUAUAGUUAUUUGGAAAUUUUCUUUUCAAAUUUCUCAUUUUCUUUGAUAAGCAUAAGAAAUUGGGCGGUAGACAUUCUGAUCCUUUUUCUCAUUUCAUCCACCAAACAUAUGUUCACAUUAUUCAGAAAUAGCAAAGCUAUUCAAAAAACCAUUACUAAAAUCCAAAAAAUCAGCCUGUAGACUUCACCUCAAGCUCCUCUAAGCUCCCCAUUCUGGACCUUCAGCCACUUUCAGGGAUAGCAAGGCCACACUCAACAAACAGUGAAACACAAAAUAGUGAUGAAUUUUUCUUUCUAUAACAAAAAUUACCUAGAAGUUCCCAAAUUUAAAAUUUACAAAAAAUUUCAGUUGAAUUGAUUUUUUUAUUUAGAAACAUAAUAAUUGAAAAAAAAAAGUCGAUUCUUUUAAUUAAAAAUCAAGCUAAAAAUAUUAAUCAAUUCAAUUUUUUUCUUACAUAGAAUUUAUUGUAAACCAAGCCAAGUCCUACAAUAGAAAGCGUUCGAAUUCAUCAUGAUGAUGGCAAAAUCCAGGAUAUUUACUGGCAGCGUUUAGAAUAGACACCAAUGUCAACAUCCUCCAUGAAACCUCAAGCUUUAUUUCCCUUUGAAGAACAUGAUCAGAUGUCUCAAGUCUAAACGUUACUUUAUAUUUAGUAUUAGCUAAAAGUUCGUGAUAGAAUAGCCGCCGAAUAUGAUUUAGACUGUGUUUGUUAUUAUUGCUUACUUUACUAUUGAAUAUAGUAUCGUAUUGAAUAUAUUAAUAAGGGGCAUUAAAAUUUAAUUCGGAGUUGAACCAAAGUAUUUUAUUUAUAAGAAGCCUAAAAAAUAGUUAAAUGCCUUUCUUUUUGGUAGUUUUUAAUACAUUCCAAAUUGGAUGGCACAUAGAACAGUGUUGCAGUGUACAACUUUCGAAGGACCAAUGCACAAUAUUCACAACUACGUACAUUAACGCCUUCUCUUGCAUUAACAUCAAAAGAUUAGCAAAAAUGUAAUUUGGACAAAAAAAGAAGAAAAGAAAAAGAAAGCCUCUGCGUUGACGAAGAUGAAAAUUCUGCUACGCUGCAGCUUCACAAGCAAAGGAUCUGGUGAAAAUAACUCAAGAUGCUGAUAUACCAUUCCUCUUCAGCAAUUCCUGCCAAAUCACACACGAAAAACUUUAGUUGGUAGCCGUUGGAGCAAGUUUCUUCAAAACUUUUCACAUCUUCAAAUUGAAAUAUACUCUACCAGUUUGGUUGCAGUAAUUGACAGACGUUGCCUUUCCCUUCUCUCACGUCGGCACUCUCCACACCAGCUGGAGAAAUCCUUCUGAUAUUUUUUCAGCUCUCGGAAAACUGAACUGAAAAGGGGAGUAAAUAUUGAGAUCAAUACUAUUAUUGAUAGCUAAAACAACAAAUUGGCAACUUCUCCGACUCAUUUUGCUCCAGAACCAAGCCCGAAAUAAGAGAAGAGAACGCUAGUUAUGUUGAUAUCGAGCAUGCAUAGUAUGCCAUGGUAAAUGAAAAUUUCUUCCUUUAGACUGCUGCUAGUCUAAAACAAAAGCCAAUCAAUCUACAGUCUUUCAAUGUCUAUAGUUUUUCUUUUGACUCUCAGAUUACUCAAAAUUUGAGAAUUAGAUAGCAUUAUGAAUGUUUCAGUUAGUCCAACAACUGAACUAGGAGAAAAUUUUACAAAACUUAUUUCUAAGCACAUCAAUGUUUUUAUCUAUUAAGCUCCUAUGCUUUAAUUGUGUGCAAUUGAGCUCGCAAACUUUCCAAUUUAAGCACAUUGGUGACUUCUUUGGCAGCAGAAAUAUACUUAUGUAUAUAGAAAUAUAUAUUAUAAAAAAGGAAAUUUUCACAAAAAAAAAAGAAAAGCAAAGGGAACUGUUAAAGUUGGAAAGAAGGAAAAACUCAUUUGUAGAUGUUCCAGAUUUUGUUGGGCAGUCGUCCAUAAUGACUUCCCCUUUUUUAUUUUUAUUUUUUGGUGAUAAAAGGACGUCUCCAAGAGAUUAAGCACAGACGGCACGAGGAUAAACCAACUCCCAGAUUAUCAUGCAGAAUUUCUCUUCUUCAUUUGUUUCAUUUAUAUAGGAUCUCAGUGUGCUUAAAUAGAAAAGGAGUACAAUAAAGAAAACAGGAAAGUUCAAGGAUCUAGAAGCCGGUUUUCCCGAUACUUACAGCUAAAUUAGACCCCAUAAAUUCUUAUGCUCUAGUUAGCUAAGUACCAAAGCACAAACAAGAGUCGGUCUUAUUAGAAUGCUAACAUUAAGCCCUGCAUAUUGUGCUGAAAAGGAUUUCUUUUCAUAAAGGAAAGAUGCACAAGUCUCAUGCACACAGGACCAAAGAGAGAUACCUUCUACACCACAAAAUUAGGUUGCAUCGAUGCCCAGAAGUUGUAGCUCUAGCACCAUGCCGAUGGCGGCCACGAUGAAGUACAGCACGUCCUGGAACAUGGACAUAAUCCAAAAUUUCCUACAUAGAUGUGAUAAAUGAAUGGUAACCCUUCAGCUGCUUAAGAUGGCAAGUUAACCAAUCACAAUGGCCUUUUGAUUGCUAAGAAUCGCCAAAACCCAAGAGUUUUCUUUGAUGUUUGAAUUUAUAAAUCUUAACCUUUUCUGAUGCUUACAUGUUUGCCCUUCCCUUUUGGUACAUCUAUUUUGCCUUUUUGUUUGAAUAGAAAAACAUCACUGACCUUGGAUGCCAUUUUCUAGUUCAGCAUAGUUCCCAAGAUUUUUCUUAUAAUUUGUACGGUUGUACCAAUUGUUUGCAAUUAUGCAAAUACAAAAGGAUGAAAAUUUGUACAUACAUGACCUCAUAGUAGUCCAGCAUGAAUAAACAUAAUAGAACUAAUGUUGGACAUGAACAUACCUCUGGUUGAGUUUCACUAUUGACAUGUUUAUCACACCGUACACCACGAAAAAACAAUUCUCCACCAUAAAAUUGCUUACCCAAGCAAACAUUCAAGGUGACUUCCGAGUCAUCCACAUGGAAACCUAUAAAGAGAAGUCUGUUGAGAUUCCACAAAAGCUUAUGAAGAUACAGCUUUAAAAGCUGGGAAGUAGCACUUUGCAUUUGUAAUAGAAAGGGAUAACAAGAAAAUGUAGUCUAUAAUCCUAAAGCCAGAAAUAAGACUGCCGUCAGUAAAUAAACAAUAUCACCAUCCAUUCAAACAAAACAAAGUUCCAGCAUUGUUCUUGAUGUCAAACCUAGAUGACUACAACUAAGUAGUCAUAAAAAUAAGAGAGAACCAUUUUGUUCUAGGCUUUCACAAUAGAAUAAUUGAAAGCAGGUGAGAACAUGCAGAAACUUCUCAAAGUUUCUCCAACAGGUACAAAAUAAAAGAUUGACAGUAUAGUAAGAUAUACAACAUUAUUCUUAACAGCAAUAGAAGAGAAGAUUCAAGCACCUACCAAGCUCAACAUCCCUAUCCACUCCAUACUCAACUACAAAACCAUGAUGAGAAUCUAGAGUUAAUCCACCGACUUCAGGAAAGAAAACUACAAGGAAAUCAAUCAUAAAAAAUGAGUUCUAGAAAAGUAAUGGAACUCUUUAUGCGCAUUCUAAUUACUGGAAAUAGAUAUAUUACCCUUAGACAUGGGACGUAUAUAUUCGUCCAUCCAUUUGUCAAGAACAGUUUCUAGGCCAAAGUCAUCAAGAACAGCACCAUACUUGUUCAUUGUGUUUGGUCGCAUUAUUCUGAAUUUCGUCUCAUGAACCCACCUUUCAAAAUUUUCUACCUAAGUAAUCAGAACUUGAUAAGAAAGUAUACACACUAAAAUACAUGAAGAUUAUAGAAAAUAAGAAAAAUGACAAGGUACCUCAGACAUCAACAUUUCACAGAAACUUGGCUGAAGCAUUUCAAAUACAUAAACUCCUGGCGUGGGUUCCACCAAUAUACUUCUAAAACUCUCUUCAGUGUUUUCAUUAAUUGCUUUGAGAAAUGAGGGAACAAAGAAGUUAACAGCAUUCAUAGUAUACAGCUCCCUAUGUAAAGGCUGCAGAAAAGAGAAAGUGGUCAAGAAAUAAAACAAUGUAAAGAAGCGAAAAAAUAAUAUUCACCCUAUGCUAUAAAAAAAUUGAAAAAAAAAAACUAUCAAAAUCCAAAUAGCAGAUAGCAAAUCAAUUUUUUCACUUUUCACCAAUCUAGAUAUAAUUGCAUAUAAAAAAUGAUAGUAUAGCCAGGAAUAUUUGAUAUAUGAAUUCGUCCAAUCCUUUCCAAUAUUUCCAAAAUAUAGCUAAAAAGACAUGCACAAAUAGCGAGCUUGUACAUAGCAAGCAGUCAUACAUCUAGAAAAAUUUUGUCAAUAGAAGCACCACUUUUUGACCUAAAGAUUUGAAAAUUCAUGCACUUUGCAAACCUAUUCAAUUUUACCAUAUUAUUUUAAUCAAUUUGAUUCAUAUAUCCUGAUUUGUUUCUAUUAUAUCCAAUGGAUAUGGGAUGUGUAACAUAGCAUUGAGAUGGGAGGGCCCUUCCAAACCCUAGAAGACCCAAAUGGUGCCAAUUUGGAAAUAUGAAUCACAAAAAGCAUGUAAAUGGUUUCACUGGCAGGAAGGAGAGAGCAUUUUAGCAGAAAGAGUAAUUGUUGGGUGGCUCUUAGGGCUUAGGGGACCCAUUUAUUUCAAGUAAGCUAGUUAUCUUUGCAUUACACCUCAAGGCUAUGCCAGAAUGGGCACAUGCCCCAAACUCAUUGAAUACAAUUAAAAGUAAAUUUGUAAAUUAUGAACCAAUGAUAAAAUUGAAAGCAUAUCACAAAAAAAUUUAUAUAUAUAUAUAUAAAGGGUCUAGGACAUUUUCAGACUAUUAGCCCAUCAUUUUUUAAAAUUAUUAUAAUUACUCUUAGCAUGGUUUCAUAUUGUCAAAUGUUCGAUAAUAUAUAUAUAUAUAUCUGUUUGUUUAUGAAAUCUAACAGCCAUUCAAACACUUAUCACUUAUAUAAUUUUGAAUAGAUUAUUUAUGUUCAAAAGAGAGUUCUUUUCAUUGGAGAAAGAAAGAGAAAAAGAUUUGGGGAUAAAAAUAAAAUGUAAAAUGAAGGGUUUGAGCAUUUUUUUUUAAAAAAAGGUAUAUUUCAAAGAUUAAAUAGGCCAAACUCUGAAGGUUCAUCUUAUUUCUGCUCUGUACUUUAGUAGCAUCCCAACAGAAACUAACAUAACAAUUUAUAUUAUAAAGCAAGUUAAGCACAAUAAGUAAGCAACUUAAGAGACGGAGUGGAUCUGAGCAAUCUACAAUAUUAAGUGGAGGUAUAACUUGAAAAACUUCAGUGAGUGAAUAAUUGAAAAUGACAUAAUUACACAAUUUCUAAUGAGGCAAUGGGCCACUUGGAUCAAUAGUAGAUCUAGCCCAAUAGCAAGAAAUCUAUGCAAUAAAAACAGCAUUUGCAGACAACCUUUAAGAUUACAGACUUAUAGCAUAUAAGCUUUUCUAAACCAAGAAUUGGAAAAACUAGAGCCAUGAAAUCCAUAUAUCCAGAAAUAUAUGAAAAAUUACCAAACUAAUUUGAGCAUGAGACCCCUCCAUUAAAUUUUCCCCAUGGAAUUUACCUGAUAGUUUGAUAUAAUCUUUUGCCUGUAUUCUCUAUGUUUUUGAAUCUGCCAGUUUACAGAAAGAAGCAAUGAGCAACAGAUUUUGACGGGCAAGAAAUACAGCAACAUGAAAAAAUGAUAAAUAAAAUAAUUAACAAGCAAAAAUGGCGUGAAUUUACAUGAAACUUAUCGACUUCCAAGACAUUUAGAAUGUGCGGAAGUUACGUUGACACCAUUAUUUGCAAUUAACUUGAGAAGAGAUUUAUUUCUUAUAGAAUCAAUGCGUCAAUUGAUAAAAAUUCAUAAUGGAAAUUGCAAGGAAUUAGAAGAAAAUAUGAGUCGGAGUACAGAUAAGAAAUUUCAAAAUUAGGAAAAAAUAAAUAAAUAAAGCCCAUUCAAAUACCAAGUUCACCAUAAUAGGUGAUGGAAUUAUCCAUCAGACACAACAUGUAGAGGAUAUCCUCAUAAAAUAGUAAAAGUGUUUAUCGGAAACUACUUUCAAGAAAUAAAUAAUAAUUCCAAGCCAGAGCUCUAAAAUAACACUGCAUUUAUUCCUGGUAUAGCUAGAGUAGAAUUUAACUAAAAUGCAGAACUUGGUCUUGUACACCAAACAGAAAAUGGUGAACCAUAUUGCAAAUCAUUAAAGCAGAAUAUAAGUUAUCACUAAUAACUUUUUGAAUCAAUAUUCCAACUUAGCCCUAUCUUCAAGGGGGAAAUUCUCAAUUUUCAUGUACUCCCUACUCAAGCUGCAAAACUUAAAUCUCUCUCAAGCACCAUGCUGUCAAAAUUUUCAUUUCUCUUGCAUCCAAUUGCUCUCUAUUCCACAAAUUACAGUACAGCUUUAACACACAAAUGUAUACGUAUAGAUAAUGCACAAGUAAACGCACAAGAAUAGCGGCGCAAAUCAAGAUACUAAAUUGAUGCAUACACGAGUGCGUUCACCCUCGGGAGAGUAGCGAACGAGAAUGUCCCUCAUGAACUGGAUUUUAGCUUCACGUGACAUAUUGAGCAUGGAAGGAGGUAAGUACCGCUCCAGCGAGCUGAACAGCAGAGGACUGAAAUCCGAUUGCAGGUCCUCAUAGCUAUCGGGUUUGUGAUCGGUGAUAGGAUUCAACCUCAGCCUGUGAGCCACCUGAGUAGACAUUACGACACCGUUUCCAUUUCCACUGCUCUUCUUAUGCGCAUCCAGUGACAUUGUAUGAAUAGCUUUAUUGAUUUUGUUUUCACAGAGAGAGCUUAUGGUUGAGAAUAUGCAUAUAAAUUGUUUUUUAACAGAGGCAGAGGGUGGAAUUAGGGUUUGUUGAGUGAGGAAGAUGAGAGAAGCAGGUGGUUUGUGUCGCAGGUUAGGGUUUGUAAUUGCCUUUCUGUUCUGUGAGUUAGUUGGACUGGUUGGGGUGUGGCUCACAUGUGCCGCGAAUCAGAUGAUGUUUUAGCACAUGCAAGUAUAUGGUUGGUUGAAUGCAUAUAUCAGAGUUCCCAAGGAGCUUUCUAGAAUUUGUAGUGUCGGAACCGGAUUGAACCGGCUGUUCGAAGCGAUUCUGUCCUGAAUCAGUAAUCAGUUUUAUUUAUUUUUUAGUUUACUUUCUAAAAUAACUUAAAUUACUAUUUUUUUUUAUUUUUGAUAAAAUUAAAAUACAUAAAAUGAAACAAUGUUUUUUUAAAAGUUCAUUAAGUUUAAAAAUUUUUAAAUUAUUUCAUAAAAAUUCUUUUAAAAAAAUAAUCAAAUUAAAUUAAAGAAAAAUUACUAUAAAAUUCCUAAAUAUUAAUUAAUUUCCAGUUUUAAGGGGGAAUAAUUAUAAAUAUAAAAAAUGAACCAUUCUUCCCUAGUCUCGUAGACCAAGAAUCCAGUGUUUGGCAAAGAAGAAAAAUAAGAGAAAAGAAAUGAAAUGAAAUAAAAGUUGGCCUUCUAAGUUUUAAUUAAAAACCAAAAUUUUGUGAAACAAAAACAGAGAAAGAAGAGUAUACAAAGCUAUUAAGCAGAAAAAUCUCAAUGCAGGUCGAUUGACUCUGCUGGGUUAAUUCUCAGAAAACUCUCUCCCUAAUAUAGUAGCUAUCGCAUGGUGUAGAUGAAUCAAUAACUUGAUAAUUUUUAAUCAGCUCGUUCAAGGCUAUAUUAGCUCGGUUUCAAUCUGUUGGGAGACUAUGCUCCAGGGGAUACAUUGUUGUGCCUCUAACAAAAUUUUGAUGUUCAACAGCAGCUUUUCUGAGACUGGAAAUAUUUGUGGAUCUUUUAACCUGCCUUUUUUUUAAUGGAACAUGCGGCCGUUGGGUCUCCAGAUCCUGCUCCAACCCUCCUCCAUAAUUCAAAGCAUGCCUAUUAUUAAGCAUGGCGAUAGAUAAAGAAAAACUUGGUGGAUUGGGGCUGGGAUAUAUAAAAUCCUUCCUUAUAGUUCUAGGUUUCUUGGAGUACUAAAAGAGAAGUGGAGAAGAAGAAGAGAAAGCACAAGAAGUCUCUGAUUGAAAGAUGAGUUGACGAAGGAGAUGAUCGAAUAUUUUAUCGCAAAAAAAAAAUCAAAUUUUCUUGAAUUUUUUUGAGAGGGAAGAGUUUAUCAUUAUAAAUUAGUCUAGAGUCAGGAUUUAUAGGUCUCUCAUAAAUUUUCCAAUUAAAAAGAUAUUUAUGAUUUUUUUUAAAAAAAACUAAUAAAUUUCGUUAAUAAUGUUUAAUGAAAUGAUUAAAUAGUUGUAUUCAUGAUAAUUUAAUUCGCGUUAAGAAUUAUAAAGACCGACUAAUUAAUUUCAAUAAAAUUUAGAAAUCCUAUAAUAAUUUUUUGAUGUAAUGUCCUAGACAAUUUUGAAGACACCGAAAAACAAUACUGAAACCAAUGAAUGGGAAUUCAUUAAUUCCAACCAAUUAACUGAAAUAUAGAACCAGUGAAGCUAAGUCAACAAAAAUUAGGCAAGCUGGCCUAAGAAGAGCGUAUGUGUAGAUCACCAAGCCAAGCCUAACAAACCAGUUUGGACAGGUGAUCAGUCUGAUCCAACCGGUUGUGAGUGGUCUCUUCAAGCUAGAAUUUUACACUGCAAGCCAUGGAACUCUGGACAACAAACUCAAAUCCACUGCUUAAACAAAACCUUACCAUUUUCACCUUCCAACAAAGGAUAUUACACAGCAUUAGUACAGGCAACAUCAACGGACGAUACAAGGCCAGGAACACUCUAUUUCUUUUCUAUAUGUCUAUUUAGGUUAUUUACAUCAUGCCAAUACGAAUAGGAUUCUUACUCUCUAUGCCAAAACAUGAUACUUUUCAUUCAGGAGCUUGCUUUGCUGAUAGCAUAGGCUCAGUACAUGUCCUAAGCUCGGAGAUUUUAAGACCUACCAUUGCAUUCCCAUCAUUUGUCUACUGUAAUGCUGAUUUGGUGCUCCAUUAAACGGGGCCCAUUCGGGGCAGUGCAUCAAAUUGUUGUAGGUUGAGUUGAUAUCACAUAUGGGUGAACUCACAUGCCCAGCAAAGUUAGCGGCUUCUGCAGAUUGAAGCAGCAGUAUCAUUGCCUGCUGUUGUUGCUGGGAAUAUGGCAUUUGCAAUUGUUGAGGAAUCUGUGGCAUUGGUGGCAGCUGUUGAUUGCUCAAGAGAUAAGCCAUGUCUAGAAUAGUUGGUCUCUGCAUUUGCACCACUCCAGUGCUUCCAUGGAUUGCAAUUUGAUUCAUCAUAGCUCCCCCCGGACAUUCUGGUGCACGCAGGCCUAGUGUUGCUAAAAUUGAAGAGUGAUCAGGCAUCAUCCCAAAGCAUUGUUUUCUGGAACUGGAUAUAUUGCUGUCAAGAUUACUAAACUGAUCCAGGUUUCCCAUCCACGGGAUUUGUCCACUCUGUAGAAAAUUCAUGGCGCCUCCCAAGGCCAUAACACCAUCACCUAGCUCCCCAAUAUCACCAUACAACUGCAUCGUAUCUACACCACCCAUAGCUGCGCCUAAUCCUCCCACUGAUGUCUUUUGAGCAAGUUGCUCAAACCGUCUCUGUCUUUGCAUCAUCUGAAACUGUAAAUGGGCAUCUUUAUUAAAAAACUCUGGACAUUGUGGAUUUAUCAUUCUCACUUGUGCAGCAACGUCAGGCUGUAGUUUGGAUAAAUUAUUGGACAAGUUUUGGAUCGGCAACUGGAAGUUUGCAGGGGGUAGCAGGUGGUUUCUAGGUAUAAUAUUUUGGGAUGAUAAUUGCCCGGUGUUACUGUUAAGGGCUAACAUUCUACUCUUCAUGCAAGGAAGCAUGGAAGCCGCUUGCCCUGGGAUUAAUGUUGGGGAUGGCCGUAGAAGGGAUCCACAUGCUGCAGGGUCACUCCCAAUAAAGGCACUACUAGACUCAUCAUCAGAACUAAGAACCAUAGGCUCUAUCUGAUCUCUGGCUAUAUGGUAUCCUUCUUUCGCUAUCUGCACAAUUAAGAAAAAUUACGGUACAGUAGAAGCACAAGACAAUUCAAUAAAACAUAUCCAUUAUAAUAAACCUACCAAUGACUGGAAAUGAGCAGCAAAGAGGUCUGCAAAAUGCUGCCAGAUGAAUGAAUAUAAACGUUAGAAUUUUACUUGAACCAGCUCAUUUUUAGGCUCCAUUAAGUGCAGAAGAGUGCCAAAUAAAAAAUUAAUCAUGUUACUGCACCAAAUCAUAUAGCAAUAUGAUAUGAAAUUAUGGCUUCCUUAACAUGUGAAACAAUAAACAACUUCCCCCAGUUAAAUAACAAACAUUGAAGAAAAUGUUGUCUUGUCGGAGUUCUCAAAUAAAAGAGCAUGCAAACAGAAAUGCCUUCAAGAAACUCUUGGUCAUUAAACAAUUUUUUGGUGAGAAACAAAUUUAGUUAAUAAUUGUAAGGGGGAGGAUAAGGUAUCCUCUUCAUUUAAAUAAUACAAAACAAACUAGCAGUGGAAGAAGACAAGAAACAAAAGAGGGGCAACCUCUAAUCAAGCUGAGCAACACUAAGAGAGUCCUGUGAGAGCUCCUGAAGCACCAAUCCAAAAAGAAGCCAAGAAAACCACUAAAUUAAAGAACAUAAGCAUUUUGAAAACGGAAGCAUUGUCUCCAUUCAAAUACCCCAUUGAAGAAAUUUUUAAAAAUACUAAACAAUGGUUCUAUUCCCAAAUGAUUCUUCCAUCACCAUUAAAUUUGAACGGUUAAAUUACAGGAGUUGGCACAUUUGAGAUAAAGAUGAAAAUAAAAGACUAUUUUUAUGAUUCAGGAGCUUACUUCAAGUUCCAAAUGGAUCAUAUUGCUAAUCCAAUGACACAGGAAGAAGGCAACUGCAAAUAAAGAUUGAAAACUCACAGUAUUGGGACAGGCUGGUAAAAGAGGAAAACUGAUGGAAUCUCUCUCUUCUUGUUCAUAAACAACAGUUAUUUCCACCUUUCCCUCAUUGAGAAUCUCUGACAUGACCAGUUUAACCUGGGCCCCACUAUCAUUCUGGGAAAUUUCUUUUCCUGGCAGAAAAUCAUUUAGCAGUACAAAACAUAAUAUUCACAGUGAAGUAAAUAAAUAAAUAUAAGACAAAAGUUACAUACUUUGAUGAACAUAAGCUUGGUGCACAAAUGUCAAUGUCCUGGUCUUGGAGCCGUUAUGUUUCCUAUCUAUGGAGCAUUUUGAUAGAGGAAUCCUACGAGCGGUAGCAUAUUUCAACCUUCUGUCCUCAGAAUUAGCAAGAUGGAGAGCAACCAAAGCAAUAUUAAAAAAUUGUUUACUUGGCAACAGUUGGUCCAAUUUACGCUUCUUAUCAUUCAGUUUGUACCUAAAUGCAUAAAAGUAAUGCUCUAAUCAGUGCCUGAAAGAUAAAAUAUAUCAGACAUUUUUUUAGCACAAAAUGUGAUUACAGUUUGGAUCACACCUUUGAGUCACGGCUCCAAUCUUCACAAACCUUUCAAGGCAGGGGCUCGCUAAAGCAGAACCUGCAUCAGCAGUAUGUAUCUUUCUGGUGCUGGCAAGUGAAUUAGUCAUCCUUAUACUUGAAACUCCGGGCAGAAUAUUCUUCUUUUGCCUUGUAGGUAAAGAAGCCUCUCCCAAUAAGGACUCACCUUGAAACAGUCUUAAUGAUGCAGUUCUAACAUCAGAAGUUACUUGAGGACUAGGCAAAACUUUCUCGGUAACCAUUUCAUUUCUCAAAUUUUUCUCAACAGUGUCAGCAAGAUGGCUAUUAGCUCUUACUAAUAAUGGUGAUUUUUCCAAUAGUUGAGGAUGUUUAGAUGGAUUACAUCUCAUAUCCCCCACAGAGGAUUUAUCUUUGAUCUUCCUAACAUCUGAAUUGGGAAAAUCAGUAGUUUCACGAGGCUCUUGUUUCACAACAAAAUUUAGCAUUCCAGUAGGCUGCUUUGGGUUCCCUUCAACAAUUUCCUGUUGACCUUUAUUUUUCAAUGGCAAAAUUUCUCUCUGGUCACUAUAUCUUUCAUGAAUAUUUUUCUCAGACCCAAUUUUUUGAUACAGCAGAUUGUUUUUCCUAUGUGAUGCAGGUGCUAGACCAAUUUCAGCUAGAUUCCAAGUAUUCUGCAUCAAUGUGAAGUUAGGUUCUUGCAUAGGUAUCUUAAGGAUAGGUCUUUCAAAUGAUUGUGCUUCACAUUCACUCUUCUCAGCAGGAAGCGAAAAAGUAGGUUCUCUCUGGUUUCUGUUGAUGUUCAUAGAGGAUGAAGACAAAUCAACUGCCACAGUUUUGUUGCACCCAUUCACUGCUUGAUAGAUAUGAAUGUUCACUUGUGCAACCUUUCCCGCUAGUAAAUUGGGGAUAACUCCUGAAUUUGGGACUUCUAUACCUUGGUAUGCUAAAUCAGAUUGAAAAUUGGAAUCCUGUGAGCCGCUGCUUACCAUACUUGGCAAGCAGAUACUGUUUUGUGAGUUGAAUUUUGGUAGAUCACUGAGCUUUCUCUUUUUCCAACCAUAGGUGAUUCCCAAACUAAUCUGCCAAAAAUACCAUCUGUUAGCAAGUAUAAUCCUUGAAAUUUAUUAUACACGGAAAAAGACUAUAUUGAUGUUGCAACCACAAAUUCAAACUCUCAAAAAUUACAACUGUGAAGAAAAAGGAAAAGAACACUUACCUGUGACAAUGUUCACAGUUCAUUGCUUUAUAUUCAGAGAAAAUAAUGCACACUAAAAACAGAAGGAAAAAUCACUAGGCACAGUAAUGGGAUGUUGUACAUGUAAUAAUGAGUUUCUGCUAUUCCUACUUGUAAAAGAAAAGGGUCAGUGUCACUAAAAAUUAGCACUUGUAAAAAACUUCAGUGUAGGCACACUGCCCUACCAUAUCAAAUUUCUUUUGUUUCUCUGUCUAUGAAAUUCUGUUCGACUUGCAUGUGUAUUUAAUAGAGGACCCAAACAAAAAGGGAAUAACGUUUCCAUUAGAAGGAAAGCGUUAGAAAGAGAAGGGAAGCCAUUGCAAUCAUUCUACAGUCAUUAUCAACAAUUCAGAAGCUUAGUAUAUGAUUAGAUGCGAUAUGCAAACUGCAUUUUCUGACAAUGGCCGCAGACCUCCAGCAUCCAAUACCAUAUCACAAUUAUUCAUGAUUAUCCAAAUAUGACAUGAUAAUACCUUCUGAGUUGGUGAUUCUCCAUAAUCCAGCAAUGGGUCCAGAUUCAGAUGAAGAGAAGGUUGCAAAGCUCUGAGAGUGCGAGACUCAACUUCCUGAACAAGAAUAAGAUAAUAAAUUUAAGCUAGGGACAAGAUGAUGGACUUAAAAGUAAAACUCCUUUAAAAUUUUUUCCGAGCAGAUUUACUUACCAACAUAUCUUUAUAUGCCCAAGAUUCAUUUGAUAUAGAAUCCUCCGCACACAUCUGUAGAAGCACUCUAUGAAUAGUUGGAGAGGUUUCAGCCAAAGCAGUACUUGCCUUCUGGGACAAACAAUUACAAUAAUCUCGAAUCUGCAAAAAUAUUAUCCGAGUUGUGUGACUUGCAGCAUGCCAUAUAAAAUGCAAAUAAUAUUUGCUCUAGACUUGUAGCACGCCAUAUAAAUGCAAAUAAUAUUGCUCUGGACUUGUAGCAUGCCAUAUAAAACACAAAUAAUAUUUCUCCAGUGAGGAGUGAUAUCUCCAUGGAGUGUCCCAAAUAAAACCUCAUCAUGUAACUUUACAUCAACAAACUACCAAGUCCGUAUAGAUACACAUAUACACAUCAAAUAUUGUAAUGCAGAGUGCAAGGAAGACACUCUUGAAAAAGGAGUUUUCAAAUGCAUAAAAUCUUUUAUAUUGUGAGCUCUUAGAACAAUUAAAUUUAUGCAACCUUCCCCUUUGUAAGGAGGAUCCUAUUUCCCUGGUUUGUCCCAUCACCUUCAGGCUACGUUUGGUUGGAUGUAAUACAAUAUAAUACAAUCAAUCAUUUAGUGAAAUGAAUGUUGCACCGUAAUUGCCAUUCUAUUACUCUUAUCCAAGGCACAAGGCGCUGCAUGUCAGGGACCUGGCAUCUCAACCACCAAAGGCGAGCGACCUACACCAUGUGCAACUAAUUGCACCUCAUACAGGUCAUCCUAGUGAGCACUAAUAAAAGGACAUUAAAAAAGCUACAUUUUGGUAGGAAAUAAUGGAAUGUAAAUGAUCAACCAUGUUAUAGAAUGGAUGUUGCAUUGUUGUGCAAUAUAAUCAUUAUUUCAGCAUUCUUAUCUUAAGCGCAAGGUGAUGCAUGCAAGGAACUUGGUGUUGCCUCAACCGUAUCCAAAGGCAGGCAACCAACACUAAGUUCACCCAAGCACGACUCUCACAUGUAUGCCAAUGAGCCCUAAUAAAAUGACAAAAGAAAGGUUGAUAAUUAUGAUCUCGUACCAUCAUCGAAAUUGAAGAAUAAGAACAACCUAGGCAGCUGCUUGUGCUAAUCCUAGGCAAACCAGACUCCAAAUAUAUAUAAGAAUUAUUUUCCUUGUUAUUUUUCCCUUUCCUUCUCUCAUUCCUCCACCCACUUGGAUUUCCCUCUUUCUCUUUGAUUACUUAAUUUCCUUCAUCCUAUCCUUUCCCUAUCAAAAUCUGAAAUUAGAUCCACAAUCCUUCAUUUUAUCACUUCAAUGUAUUAUUUGCAUUUUUGUGCCUCAACUCGCUCAAACACUCACCUGAUCCCGAGUCUUACUCCUAGACUCUAGGACUCCUUGGUGCCUUAGUGUGCCCUUAAUAUUACAUUAUAUUAGUUGCAAAAUGUAUGCCUGGUUGCAAGAUAAAAGUACAAAUAAUGUAAUUUUUUUUAUUUCAUUAUUUAGUUUUAUUUGUGAUAGUAACAACAAGAUAUUGGCAAUGGCUUUCUUGACGAGUGGUGGAGUGGUGCCUAGACUAGUCUUGGCUAUUAAUUGAUCUAAGCCGAUUCAAGGAGAUUUUUGUUAAGUCAGCUUGGACCAGUUUCUACUUCGAGUUGGACUGAUCCAGUUUCAAUCUAGAACUUAUACCAUAGACAUGACUACCAAAGACCCUACCAUGUUCCUAGUUAAGCCUGAUCAAAUUAAGUCUAAAAUUGAUCAAUAACUUGCAAGCGUGAACCAAGAAACCUCUCUCCUUAAAUAGAGUUGGAUUGAAACCUAUGAUGCAAGCUGACGAUCUAAACCAAUUUGAACCACUUCCUUUUUUAAAAAAAGAAAUAAAUUAUACAAAACAAAAAUAAAAAGAAAACCUCAAUCAUUGAUUACAUCCGAUUUGGAUAUAAUUAGAACCAAAUAGGACUAAACUUGAAUUGUCAAUUUGAAACCUUCUUUGAACUAGGUCCAUGUGGUCUAGCUCAGGGCCUUCCAUGCCAUCUCUAAGAAUUGGAUCGUAGCUGAGUAGGUGGUGGUGGUGAUGCGGCAGUGGCAGCAGCGAUUGUAGCAGUAGUGGAUUAUAGUUUACAAGCCUCAAUAUCAUGCUAGAACUGUUUUCCUUUCCUUUAAAUAAGAUGGAAUCAUCAUUUUUGUUUAUAGGAAAAAAAAAAGAAUUUAUAGUUGGAUUAAAUCAACCUAAUAAAACUGGAACUAGCAACAAAAUCAGAACCUUAAGGUUUGGUUGAAGGCCUUCAUUUUCACGUACUAGAACUACCGGUUCCAACACAAGAUCAAAUUGAAACUGAUAUUUAGCUAACUAGAUAUGGUUAAUAGUGAUAAUUACGCAUGGCCUUGAAGCUAAUUUAAUCUAAUUCAAUUUUGGGUUAAGAUCCAUUUUUCCUUUUAAAAAAUAAAGGAUUACAUUAGUUAGAUUUGAUUGAACUAGAAUAUGGGAGGCCCAAAAAUUUGGUCCCAAUCCCCUUGAACCAAUGAAUAGGAACUGGCUUAGACCAAACUAAUAACCAUGCCAAGUAGCAAAAAACAAUGAUCAAAACAAGUAAUCACAAUUGCAUGCAUUUUUUAUACUUAAAAGUCAUUAGGCUAAUCAAAUUAUAAUUGAUUGCAUAAUAUAAUUGACAUUCCAUUGCAUCAAAUCAUACUUAUAUAAUCAAACAAAGUUUGCCUUUUGUGUAGAGAUGGUUACAUAAAUUGAUAAGUAAAUGCUACAGAAACAAAUCAAAGAAAUGGACAUGUAACAAAAUCUAAACCAUCAUAAACUGCCAAAAAAAGCACUAAACAACAAAUAUAAGCACAAAAAUCCAUAACUAACCCAUAAAUUUUACCUCACCUCACAAAAAGCUGCUCCAUUGACAUACUUGCAAAGUGUUUGAUAAAAAAUUUCUCUAGGUAACCAUCCGUGUUCAAUGGCCUAAAUGCACGUGAAAAAAAUAUGAAAGAAGAUAAGCAAAAUGGAAUAUAAGAAAAGAGUGCAAAUAUCUUGUUAAUACAUAGACACUCACAUUUACACUAACAAACAAAAAAAAAAAACCAUAUAGAUUGUUUAGUGAGAAAAGGAAGACAACAAAGGCUAUCAAACAUAGAAGCUAGGUGGGGCCACAUCAACAACAGUUUAACACAAUAAUACUUCUUCGUUUUUGCUUUUUGUGAAUAAAUAACAAUAAGGCUUAUGUACAUCAAUCAUGCGAAUUGAAAGGCCAUUUCCCAAUUGAGAAGCCAAAACACCAUAUUUGAAGGAUGUCACAAGCUAUACCACCCAUUUAUUUUAAACCUCAUGGCAUAACACCUAAUAAUAAAUUCUGCAACAAAAAUUAUUGGCAAGUGAGAUAAAUACCUACAGGUAAUUGGAGGUGUCAAUUACACUUGCCAUAGAAAUUAUUUUUUACUAUGAUAGUUCAAAUAUACCUUCAAAUCGUAACAACUAUAGAUCUAAUAGAAAUUUGGCUGAAAUGUUGAGAGCAUUACUAUGAAAGUUAAGACUCUUACCAAACUAUGUAUACAGAUGUUGAUAAUAAGCCACAUGUUGGUAGCAAGUGUUUAAUUAUUGGUUACCAAACAACUAACAAAGUAAAUUAAAAGAAAUUUAGAAAAAAUUGAAUAUUCUAUCAAUCAAUGCAAUAUAAUAAUCCUAGACGUUUACCCCAGCACUUAAUAGAAAGGAAUAAAAAAGGUUGUCAAGCAAAAACAAAAUGUUUACUCCAAGUAAAAAGAAAAUAAUGAAGAGUAUGACAAUUGAAGGCUCUUACAGUGAAAAGGGCCUUUGAGUCUCUAUCAUCAGGAACUAAUUGCUUUGGUACAUCACUGAAAACCUGCAAUGAGUUUUUUUGAGAGCAAUGGAAAUGCAUACACAAAUAAUGUUAUAAAUGCCAAAAGAAAGGGUGGGAGUUUUUCUUCAUACGAAUGCUAACCCCCGUAGGCUUUCCAACCAAAAAGCCAUUUAGGAAUAGAUUUAGCAAAAAGGAUACCUCAAGAUCUGCAAUAAAGAAACUAUCAAAUUAGGACCUUUAAGAUCAUAAUAAACUGAAAAAUAGCCUAUAUUACCUUCUGACAUUUGGUGUAUUGCAGAUUCCGUCAAUUCCUUUGAAUGACUAGCAUCCUUAUCUUCUAAUUCAUUAAAUCUACCCUGCAUUAGAACAACUGGUGUUUAAUUCUGCUUCCAGUACCACAACUGUCAAUUUAAUAAAAAUCUUCAAACACACUAACUCUCUAGGGUUUUACAAAUGUUAAAAAUAUCAUGGUUUUUAUAAUUGCUGUAGUGGAAAAUGAUUAUAGACGGUAAAAACUAAGAUACGUAGAAACACCAAAAUCAGUAACUGCUUGUCACCCAUAAAUGACUACCAUCUAUAGUUAUUUGAUAGAACGAGCAACAUUAGAAAAUUACCCCAAUAAAUAAUAAGGAUAAACAACUUCCUUGCAAAAUUGUAAGAGGUUAGAAAAUAUAGGGAUUAUUUAAUUCUAUUGCACUAAACAAGACAUGCAAUGCAACAGAACAAACUAAAUGGAUAUCAGAAUUUUGUCUACUUUGAGCUAAUAUAAUAAUACACAGAAUAAAAAGAAUUAUCAUGAAAAAAUUUUAGAAAAUCAGCUCAAGCCAAGAGAAACAAAACCAAGGAAAUUGUCAAUUUUGUGAUAUGAAAAAUUGUGAUAAAUAAAAGUUCAUGCACAAAAAACCACAACUAAGAAAAAUUAUGCCCAAGUACAUAGUUCUGCUCUUGUAUUAUUUAAACUGAAUUAAAAUCAAAAUCUAUUCAAUACCUAAAUUUAUAAAUAUUAUAAGUAUUAGCAAAAUUAGCAAAGUUUUAUUAAAAAAGGUAAAAAAUAGUUUCACUUAUUACUAACUAUAUUCUAUUAUUGUGUUAUAAAUCCCAACUAAAAAAAUAAUAUUAUUUGAGGGAGGGGAAUCCUGCCCUUGGCAUGACAAAAGUAACUAAUUUAUAUUAUGCAGUUUGAGCCCGUAAACUGUUUUCGUGAAAUCUGUAUCAAAUAUAUAAGCAUUAGUAUAGGGAUUAUUUCAGAAAAAAAAGGAGGGGGUGGAGGCUGCAUUAUACAUAAUCAUAUAGAGAUCAUUUCAGAAAAAAAGGNNNNNNNNNNNNNNNNNNNNNNCGGCAUUUUGUCAAAUUAAAGGCUCCUUACAGAUGGCUUAAAUAUAUUAUAUAAAAUAAUUAACUACCUAGCUCAAUGAAAAGCAUAAGACUUUCAAGCCAAAGGAUUAAUCAACUGAAAAUACAGGGAGAAAGAGAGAACAACAGAAAUAUUUCACGGUUGCCUGAUAGCUGUUAUACCUUAUGCACUAGUAGGAUCUCUUUUUCUUUUCCUAUAUUCUAUUUAGAAACUCCAAAAGCUAAUCAGCUCUUAUUAUUUCCAUCGAGGCUUGGACUUUAAAACAAAAAACUUUUGAUAAAUCAACAUGUCACCGCCCAUGUUCUUUCUUUUGAAGAUAAUCAAACGCUUGUAACCAAUAUACCAUUCAACUUCCACCAUGUAAAACUCGAAAAGAUACCAACAAAAGAUUUGCACAUUUCAUCCAUAACAUCAUCCAAAACAAGAACGCACCCACAAGUGCACUUGCACCAAGCCACCAACAAGCCAAACACACUUGCACGUACAAAAUGAACCGUCAAUUCAAGAAACACAAAGAAGUAAACUUGAGCUCAAUAAAAAGAAAAAGCUCAAAUAUGCAUAUACCUCAUUAAGCCUCUCUUGGUGAUCAUUUCCAUUGCCAUUUUCAGUCUCAUCAAUCUGAAGCACCUUAGGCCUAUAUCUCCAACCCACCUUUGAAACCUUGAAGGACACAACCAUUUUACUCACUUCACUCAGGAAUUUCAACAAACACCUUGUUAAUGAAGCUACAGAGAGAAAAAGAAGCCAGGAAAAAAAAAAAAAGAGCACCUUUCCCUAACAAUGACUAAAACUGACGAGAGAGGAUUCAGAGGGAAGAGGGUGUGUGUGUUGUUGCUCCAUUGAGAGGGUCCAAAUUUAUAUGUUGGCCAAAUUUGCCAUGAAGAAAGAGCACGUAGGGACGUUAUCUUUUGCCCUUUGCUUCUUCGCUAAUUUACCUCUCAUGCCUGCUUUUGGUUUUUGUAUUUUAUUAUAUAUUUGACCUUUUGAGAUUCUCUUUUAAAUUUUUCAGGCUAAAUUCCAAAGCUUCUUUUGGCAUUUUUAUAUUGCAUGCAUGAAAUGUGUUGGAUGCCUGUUAUAGGACUUGGAUUUAUCUUUUCUUUCUUAAUAUAAAUUACCAUGAAAUUCAGACCUUUUCUAGAAAAUUUCCUAGUUGUUGCCUAUUUGAAAAUUUAAAUAUUUUAUAAAAUGAAAUUUUGUAGUUAUUCUGUUAAAAAAUUAACGUUAAUUACUUUAAAUUAUUAUAUUAUUUAAUUUCUAUAAUUUUAAUUAUAUAUAUUGUUUAAUUUAUAUAAUUUUAAAUAUUUAUGCCAUUUAAAUUUUUUAAUUAAAAAUAAAAUAAAUUAAUUAAAUAUUUUUAUAGAAUAUAUAAAAUGUUUGGUAUUGCAAAAUAUAAAAAUAUUUUAAUUGAUUGAUUUUAAAAUAAAAAUUAAUUAAUAAAUUUUUUAAAAAUUUAAAUAUCUCAUAAUAAUUUUUAAGUCAACAGUAUUUGAUUUAUAUUAAAAUAAUUAUUAAAUAUAAUUAAAUUUAAAAAAUUAGUUCGAUUUUAUAUUUUUAUUGAUUGAGUUUGAUUUUAAUUUUUAAAAAAUUAAUUAUUUAAUUUAGUUUAUUAUAAAAAUUAAUAAAAUUAAUAAAAUUAAAUCAAAUUGAUUAGUUAAUAAUAUUAUAUUAUUUUAAUAAUAUAUAUAAAUUAUAUUUAUUUUAAUUAAAAUUAAAAUAUUUUAAUUUAAUUUUAAAACAAUAAAAAUAAAAUAUAAAAAAUAAACUCAUUAAAAAAAUUUAACUAAUCAAAUUAAAUUGAAUUAAAUCUAUUUUAAUUAUAUUAAUUUUUUAAUUUAAUUUAAUUUAAUUUCUACGAUUAUUAUAUUUUUUAUUUUUUUAAUUUUAUAUCAAACCCACAAAAUAAUGACCUAAUAAUUCUUAUUUCACAAGUACUCAGAUCCUCAUCAUAUAUUUAUAUACGUCUUUAGAUGUUUUUUUAUGGAGAAUUGAAAGAAUUUUUAUUAAAAAUAUAAAUUUAUAAAACUUCAUAAUUUUAUUUAUAUAAAUAAAUUUAAAAUAAAUCACUUAUAAUAGUAAAAUAUUUGAUCAUAUUGAUCUAACCUAUUAGCUGUCUAUCACCGUUCAGCUCUGAAAUUCUCAUGCAAAUACAAUAUAAUAAUCAUUACAAUUUUAAUAAGCUAAGUAAAUCACAAAUACAAUAAUAUAUUCUAAUAUUCUAAUUUUAUUCAUAAUAAGCCAAGUAAAUCACAAAUAUAAUAAUAUAUUAUAAUAAUAAAUAUUUUUUUUAAAACAAAACUAUUAUUUAUAUUAAUAAAAUUCUAUCCAACGGAAUAUCUCUCAAAUACAUAGACGAUUAUACCUGAUAGAUUCUCUAGCCAAAGUAUGAACAGUUAUAAUAGUAUUACAACAAACUCAUUUAAUAAAAAUAUUAGUUAUAAAGUCUAACAAAUAUUUAAAAUCAUUCAAAAUCAAACUCUACAUAAAAUAAUUUGACAAAAAUAGUCUUCAAAUAUCUGUCUAAACGCCUGCAUAAAAUAAUUUAGCAAAAAUACUUCACUUUCUAUCUUAUUUCUCGAGUAUAAAUCAUUAAAGUCUCGAACAACACAACGGAAUAGAGUUUCUAUGAAAUAAAACUCGAAUAAAGUUUUAAAACUGACGUUGUCGUUGCGAUUCCGAAAACCUAACUAAUAAAUUUCCAUUGAAUAUUACAUUUCGAAACAACCGAAUUAAUAAAAUUUGAAAAAAAGUCAACCACGAAAACAAACUCAUAACUCUUCCACAUCAACGAAAGGCUUCUUCCAAUCUUUAUCUAUAUUGAUUGAGAAGUAACUAUCAAAAUGUAAAAAUUAACGAAAAAAUUCUGUAUGAGAACUAAGAGUUUUUGUUUCCAUGAAAAAUAAAAUGUCCAGUUUAUAACUAGAAACCAAAUCCUUUAAUACAAUAAAUGUCUGAGGAUUGCCGUCAUAAAUCUGCCAAGCAGGUCUACAUAUUCUGAAAAUUGAUUGGAUUACAUGUGAGAAAUAUUCUGAUCAUACAAAAAUCAUAAAUGACGAUCGAAAUAUUUUUAAAACUCUUAAUAGGGAUAACAACAUCUUCUUAUUUAUCGAUAGUCAAUUGACGUAAAUCGUUUUUCCUAAGGUAGGAGAAAGAAAAAGUUAGAUUUAAAAAAAGAAAAAUGCGAGCAUAUCGAAUUACAAAAGGAUAAAUUUUGCGUUUUCAAAACAUUUAUUAUAAGAAUGAUAAUAAAUAAUAUAAUUAAUUAUUAAAAAUAGAUAUAUUAUUGUAAUAAAUUAAAAUUAUAAUAAUAAAUAUAAAUAAGUGCACCGAUAAAAAUAUAGUUUUAUAAACAAGGCUUAAAUUUUUUUUAUUAUAAUACAAUAAUAGUAAGUAUAAUUAUUAUUGUCUAAAAUUUAUUAGAAAUUUUGAAUACACCUUUUUAUAAUACCUAUUUAGAGUGUUGAUUUAUUUAAUAUGUAAAUUUAAUUUAUUAUUAACCAUAAUUAAAUUUAAUUAGUGUUAAAUUUUGAUGUAAUUCGUAAUAUUUCUAAUUAAUUUUAAAUCAUUUGAUGUAUUUUGAGACACAUAAAUUUUGAGACACAUAAAUAUACAUAAUUUAUAAAAUUAUUUUUUAAAAAAUAUUAUUAUUUAUUUAAAAAUAAUAUUACUAGAUUGAAAUAAAAUUAUAAUUUUCAUGAACUGGAAUAAAUGAUAUAAAAUAUUAAUUUGAUUGGUUUUGAAAUUCUAAUAAAAUUUCAAAUCAAUAGCUUUAAUUAAUAUAAUAAAAUAAUAUAAAAUUAAUUUAAUUAACAUAUAAAUAUAAUAAAAUUAAUAAUAUAUAAUUAAUGCAAUAUAUUAAGUUUUCAGUAAAUUUAAUAUAAUAAAAUUAUUUUAAUUAGUUAAAUAAUAACUUCAAUUAAUUAAAAUAUACAAAUAUAAAAAAUCAUGUGAUUGGUUAAAAAAUAAUAACUUUUUUAAUUGAAAAUUAGAGAUCCAGAUACUAGGACAUGAGAUAUUUCAGAUUUAUUUAAAUAUAUUUGAUGACCGCUGGAUUUUUUUACUCCAGACUAAGGUCAGCCCUAUUAGGACGACCCAUAAUCUGAAGGUUUCUAAACCUCCCCCAAGAACCGGGUCCAGCCCAUUCAGCUCAAAGACCGAGCUCCAAUCAGCUCAAAGACCGAGCUCCAAUCAGCUCCUUCAGAACAGGCCGGCUUAGCUCUUCUGACCCGAUGGACGGAUUCUCUCCGGGCCUAGUCUCAACCUCAUCCCCCGGCCCAGCUCAGAAUCAGGAAGGAGUUCAGCCCCUUGACCUUGUGGGACCAUCCGCAUGAGCGCCCCGGAGAAAAUCAGGGGGCCGUUACGUAUGGGAUAGAAAUCUGAUUCCCUCGUACAUCCGUAUCAACGUAGCAGGGACAGGUGGUCCAAUAAUACACGUUCUGUUAAUACGUCACUAGCAACAGACAAAAGAAAACAUAUAAAAGAAGAAAUACUCUCCUCUAGGUCUAAGUUUUUCCAGUUUUACAUAACUUAUUGUAAAAUCCUAUUUUCUGAAUCUUAGAUCAUCAAUAUUUAUAACCAAACUAAAACUAUAAAUAUUAAAAAUAAUAAUUUUAAUUAAAUAAAAUGUAAGAGUUUGAGGUAAUUAAUUUUAAUUCAAAAUGAACUAUAUUUAUAAAUUUAUUAUAAUAAUGGAUUAAAUUUGAUUGAUUAAUAAUAAUAAUAAUAAUAAUAAUUAUAAUAAUAAUAAUGUGGUAAUUUACAUAACAAUGAAUAAAAUUUAAUUGUGUGUAUGGGAUACUCUGUACGAUUGAUUAUCUAUAUACUUUCAUAAAUUAAUAGACAUACUCAUUCAUUAUAACAUAACUCAAAUAUUUAAAAAAUAAUUUAUUAAAAAAAAAAAGGAAAGCCUAUAGAUGGUCGUUCUUGUAUCUGCCAUUAUUGGCUCGGUCUAAAAUGGCAACUACAUCUAUGUAUGUACAAUAUUAUUUUAAUUGGAGCUGAAUAUGAGUUAGAAAUUUUAGCUCAUCAUUUUUUUUAAAUUUAAAGUAUCCAAAUCUGGCAUUGUUUAUUUAUUUAUUAAAAUAAGAUAAAUAUAAUAAAUCUACAUAAUAUAUAAAUAUAUUUAUAUUUUUUAUAUAAAAAUUAAUAUAUUUAUAUAUCGAUUAAAUUUGGACGAGUCAAAUAUAAUAUUAUAUUUUUAUAUAUUUUUAUAUAUUUUAAAGAUUAUUACCGUAAUGGUAUAAAGCUAAAAGAUUUGGUAGAUGAGAUAAAUAUAUUGGAUUCUAUUAAUGUAUUUUUUUAUUAUGAAAUUUAAUAUUUUAAAUUAUAAAUUAAGUGUAUUGAAAGAAAUAUUGGCUUGAAUAAUAAUACUUUCUAUAUUUUAAUUAUUUCUUCCAUUUAUCAAUAAAGUUAUUUGAUUUUUAAAUAAUACUUUUAUAUAUAAAAUAAAAAUUUAUUAUUAUUUUUUUAAAAAAUAAAAUUAAAAAAAUAAAAUAUAAAAUCUCUUAAAUUUAUUUAAAAUAAUAAUAAUAAUUUACUAUUAUUAUAAUAUAAAAAUUAAUAUAUAUAUAUAUAUAUUAUUUGACUUACGGUUCACUGUGUGUUGAAUGGAGCUGCCCUUAGGUGGAUGGUUCGGUGAGAGAUGGCCCAUCAAUUUCGAGAUUCCAAAUCCUCUCCUCACGUGAUUUCACUUUUAUAUAUUUUAUUUUAUUUCCUUAAAAUUUUAGAAUUUUCUAAACUACCCUUAUUAUAUUUCAUUAAUUACAAAUUUAUUGUUAUUUAUAAAUUUUUAAUUUAAUUAUUUAAUUAUAUUAAUAUUUUAUUUAAAUUUAAAUUAAUUGAUAAAAUCUCUUAACAUUUAAAUUAUAAUUAAUUAGAUUUUAUUUAAAAAAAAAUUCUUAAUAUAUUUAAAUUACGUAUAUUCAAAUUUUAUUAUAAUUUAGACUAUAAUUUUUUAAAAUAAAUAAUUAUAGUUUAUUAUUAUUUUAAAAAAAUUAAUUUAAGUAUUUAAUUAAAAAAUUUUAGUUUAAUUAUUUAAUUAUAUUAUUAAUCUAUUUAAAUUUAAAUUGAUUAAAAUAUUCUUGAUUAAAUUUUAUUAUAGAAGAUAUUUUUUUAUAUUUAAAUUUUAUUUAUUGGAAUUUUAUCGUAAAUUAAAUUAUUUUUUAAAAAUAAUGAAUUUAACAAAAAAAUAGUAUAUUAAAAUAUAAAAAUCGUAGAUAAAUUAUAAUAGUUAAUAUUUAUGAAAUUAAUGUAUUUAAUAUUUAUUUUUUAGUUUGUCUAUAAUUUAUUAUAUUUAUUUGAAGUAGAAUAUAUUUAUAAUAUAAAUACAAGUGAGAUAAAUAUCUAUUAUUAUUAUUNNNNNNNNNNNNNNNNNNNNNNNNNNNNNNNNNNNNNNNNNNNNNNNNNNNNNNNNNNNNNNNNNNNNNNNNNNNNNNNNNNNNNNNNNNNNNNNNNNNNNNNNNNNNNNNNNNNNNNNNNNNNNNNNNNNNNNNNNNNNNNNNNNNNNNNNNNNNNNNNNNNNNNNNNNNNNNNNNNNNNNNNNNNNNNNNNNNNNNNNNNNNNNNNNNNNNNNNNNNNNNNNNNNNNNNNNNNNNNNNNNNNNNNNNNNNNNNNNNNNNNNNNNNNNNNNNNNNNNNNNNNNNNNNNNNNNNNNNNNNNNNNNNNNNNNNNNNNNNNNNNNNNNNNNNNNNNNNNNNNNNNNNNNNNNNNNNNNNNNNNNNNNNNNNNNNNNNNNNNNNNNNNNNNNNNNNNNNNNNNNNNNNNNNNNNNNNNNNNNNNNNNNNNNNNNNNNNNNNNNNNNNNNNNNNNNNNNNNNNNNNNNNNNNNNNNNNNNNNNNNNNNNNNNNNNNNNNNNNNNNNNNNNNNNNNNNNNNNNNNNNNNNNNNNNNNNNNNNNNNNNNNNNNNNNNNNNNNNNNNNNNNNNNNNNNNNNNNNNNNNNNNNNNNNNNNNNNNNNNNNNNNNNNNNNNNNNNNNNNNNNNNNNNNNNNNNNNNNNNNNNNNNNNNNNNNNNNNNNNNNNNNNNNNNNNNNNNNNNNNNNNNNNNNNNNNNNNNNNNNNNNNNNNNNNNNNNNNNNNNNNNNNNNNNNNNNNNNNNNNNNNNNNNNNNNNNNNNNNNNNNNNNNNNNNNNNNNNNNNNNNNNNNNNNNNNNNNNNNNNNNNNNNNNNNNNNNNNNNNNNNNNNNNNNNNNNNNNNNNNNNNNNNNNNNNNNNNNNNNNNNNNNNNNNNNNNNNNNNNNNNNNNNNNNNNNNNNNNNNNNNNNNNNNNNNNNNNNNNNNNNNNNNNNNNNNNNNNNNNNNNNNNNNNNNNNNNNNNNNNNNNNNNNNNNNNNNNNNNNNNNNNNNNNNNNNNNNNNNNNNNNNNNNNNNNNNNNNNNNNNNNNNNNNNNNNNNNNNNNNNNNNNNNNNNNNNNNNNNNNNNNNNNNNNNNNNNNNNNNNNNNNNNNNNNNNNNNNNNNNNNNNNNNNNNNNNNNNNNNNNNNNNNNNNNNNNNNNNNNNNNNNNNNNNNNNNNNNNNNNNNNNNNNNNNNNNNNNNNNNNNNNNNNNNNNNNNNNNNNNNNNNNNNNNNNNNNNNNNNNNNNNNNNNNNNNNNNNNNNNNNNNNNNNNNNNNNNNNNNNNNNNNNNNNNNNNNNNNNNNNNNNNNNNNNNNNNNNNNNNNNNNNNNNNNNNNNNNNNNNNNNNNNNNNNNNNNNNNNNNNNNNNNNNNNNNNNNNNNNNNNNNNNNNNNNNNNNNNNNNNNNNNNNNNNNNNNNNNNNNNNNNNNNNNNNNNNNNNNNNNNNNNNNNNNNNNNNNNNNNNNNNNNNNNNNNNNNNNNNNNNNNNNNNNNNNNNNNNNNNNNNNNNNNNNNNNNNNNNNNNNNNNNNNNNNNNNNNNNNNNNNNNNNNNNNNNNNNNNNNNNNNNNNNNNNNNNNNNNNNNNNNNNNNNNNNNNNNNNNNNNNNNNNNNNNNNNNNNNNNNNNNNNNNNNNNNNNNNNNNNNNNNNNNNNNNNNNNNNNNNNNNNNNNNNNNNNNNNNNNNNNNNNNNNNNNNNNNNNNNNNNNNNNNNNNNNNNNNNNNNNNNNNNNNNNNNNNNNNNNNNNNNNNNNNNNNNNNNNNNNNNNNNNNNNNNNNNNNNNNNNNNNNNNNNNNNNNNNNNNNNNNNNNNNNNNNNNNNNNNNNNNNNNNNNNNNNNNNNNNNNNNNNNNNNNNNNNNNNNNNNNNNNNNNNNNNNNNNNNNNNNNNNNNNNNNNNNNNNNNNNNNNNNNNNNNNNNNNNNNNNNNNNNNNNNNNNNNNNNNNNNNNNNNNNNNNNNNNNNNNNNNNNNNNNNNNNNNNNNNNNNNNNNNNNNNNNNNNNNNUAAGAUUUUUAAAUAAUAAUAAUAAUAAUUAUAUGUAUAAUAAAUAUAUAUUUAUAAAUAUAAUUUAUUUAUAUUAUACUGAAUAUUAAACAUAUAAUGCAAGUUAAUUAAAUUAAUAAUAAUAAAAUUGAUCUCUAUAAAUAAGGAUUACAAUUGAUAAAAAUUUUUAGAUAUUCAAUUUAACGAAAUUAUAAUAAAAUAGAUUUUAUUUAUUGAAUUUAGAUUUUAUUUAUUUAUUUAUUUUUUAAAUGGAAAUUUGAAUUUUAUUUAUAUAUAUUUAUUAUUUAAAUUUAUUUAUAUAAAUAAUUAAUUUAAUAUAAAAAUAUAUAUUUUAUAAUAAUAUUUCUAAAAUUUUGUAUAUAUUUUUAUUUAAAAAUUUAAAAUUAAUUUUUUUUUAAAAUAUUAAAUUUAUAAAUAAAAAUUAUUAAUAAAAAUAUUUUUUAUAUAAAUUAUUAAUUAAAAUAUAUGAGAUUAAAUGAUUUUACAUUUUAAUUAGGUAAUAAUAAUUAAUUUUUAAUUAAAUUUAAAAUGAAUUCGAAAAUUAAAAAUAUGAAUCGAAUUUGUUUAUUAUUAAUUUUCGAAUCCCUUCCAGACAAGGAAAAAACAAAGAAUUCUGAAGGGGUAAUCUGGUAAUUUGGGAACAAAUCCAACGGGGCUGUUUGGUAUCGCCGCAUGUCCCUUGUCCCAUUCACCCACCAAAAACUCCCAGCGGACACUCCGAGAAAAACAAAAGCCUCCGCUGCAUUUUCGCUCUCCUUCAUAAAUAAUAACACAAACACAAGCAGAAGAGCGAAUGAAAAGCACGCCUUGACCGCGAGAAAGCUUUUUUUAUCGUAGACGUCAGUUAUCAAACACCUUCCUUUCUCUCUAUCUUGGAUCUCGAUCUUCAUCUGCUCAUUGCUUUAGACGCCAUGGCUUGUGCUAGUUUCGCUAAACUAAACGCAGCGUCGUCCUCUUGGAUCGGCCAACAGUCCUUUGGUCAGCGACCGGGAUCAUCCUCAGCACGCCUUACCACUCGUCGAGUCUCCCUCCCGAUCCGUGCUAGUUCUUACAAGGACGAGCUUGUUCAAACGGCUGUUAGUUUAUCUCCUUUCCUUCUUCACUUUCUAUUGAUUUCAUGUGCCAUUUCAGUGCCUGAUAUGCGUUUUCGAUUUACAUCUCGUUUCGUUUUUGUUUUUGUAAUUUCUCGCUAAAUGAAGUCGAAUUUGAUUUAUUCUCUCGUAUUUUAUUGAAUUGUUCAAGUUAUCCUAUUCAGGAUUCUGUAAACUUUCAGCUCUAUCUUAUGAAAAAUAUAUAUUUUUUGAAUUAAUUGAUUGCUCUUUCUUUUGUGUCCCCCCCCUCCAACUCCACUAUUACGAUUAACAUUUCGUUUGAUGUCUCGAUAUAUUUUCGGUUUCUCUCUAUCAGUCAAUUAGUACUUUUAGCUUUUCAGUUUAACGAAAUCAUAACGGCUGAUAAUGGCAUACCUCUUUGAAACAAAGAUUACAAGCAUUGCAAAAAUGGGUAUCUUGUUAGACAAAGAGGUGAUGUGGUGAAAACUGCGGAAAAUGCCUUCUGUGAUCUCCAUGCAGUUGAUAUUAUAUUGGGAUCGUGAUUCAUUUCAAUCAUCCUAGUUUCUAUUAUUGAGUCACCUCAAUUCCCUAGUUCAACUCUUCCCAAAUAUGCUGCCUUAGAAAGUUUUCCUUUUCUCAAUUGAUAUAUGUAAAUUGGUUUAUGAUUUUUCAUUGUCUAUGAUGUUUCGUGCUAUCAACUGCCUUUGGCUUGUUUCUUGAUUGUGUAGAAAUCUAUUGCAUCGCCUGGUCGCGGCAUCCUCGCGAUUGAUGAAUCAAAUGCAACUUGUGGGAAGAGGUUGGCAUCUAUUGGCUUAGACAACAACGAGGUCAACAGACAAGCAUACAGACAACUCUUGUUGACCACUCCUGGCCUUGGUGAAUAUAUUUCUGGUGCCAUUCUUUUUGAGGAAACACUCUACCAGUCUACUGUUGAUGGAAAGAAGUUUGUGGACUGCUUGCGUGAUGAGAAUAUUGUACCUGGCAUCAAAGUUGACAAGGUAUAUUGUCUGUAAAAGUAAAGAUUGUAUAUCCAAACAAACAAAGCAUGUAUAAAGUUCAACCAGGAAUUAUUUUAUUAGUUGCUUAACCUACGAUUUUUCUAUGUUCAACAAGCUUAUAUAUUUUAACUACCUGCACAUCAGGGUUUGGUACCUCUUCCAGGAUCAAACAAUGAGUCUUGGUGUCAAGGCUUGGAUGGAUUGGCCUCAAGGUCUGCUGAAUACUACAAGCAAGGUGCACGAUUUGCCAAGUGGUGAGUCCAAUUUACGUACUUGUUAUGCCUUUGUUGAUCCUUUAUCCCCCUUAGGCAAUUGAAUAAAAUGUUUUAUUGAUUAUAUGAUACUAUUAUACAUGUUCAUAUGGAAUAUUCAGGAGGACUGUAGUCAGCAUUCCUUGUGGCCCUUCUGCUCUAGCUGUUAAGGAAGCUGCAUGGGGACUUGCACGUUAUGCUGCCAUUUCUCAGGUAUUCUUUCACUUCUAAAACCUACUUCUCUCUUGCAUUAGCUAAAACUCUUUCAACAAAGUUAGAAAUGCAUGCCUAUAUCAUUUUCCCUUUUGUUUGAAAUGCAUGUGGAGGGAUGCUUGUGGAUGUGGUUAUAACAUUGAUGAACUCUCUGUUGCAUCCUGUGGAGCAGUAAGAAAGUUAAAAUAUUGGCAAAUUGAUUGAAAUUUCGGUUGAGAUGAAAAUAAGUCUCAGAAGUUGAGCUCUUUCUUUUUCCUUUUAACUCGAUAAAUAUUUAUCUUCCAAUCCUUUGAUUAAUUUGUCUUGUUUUAUACAUGGGAGUAGAUUUAGGCUUGCUGCUCUUUUCCCAGUGGUCAGUUUUGUCAGCAUGCGAGUGCCAAAAAUUACAGAUUCUGUUUUUUCCUUACUGUAAUUUUUAUGUGCAGGACAAUGGCCUUGUGCCCAUAGUUGAACCUGAGAUUCUUCUUGAUGGAGACCAUGGAAUUGAGAGAACACUUGAGGUUGCAGAGAAGGUCUGGGCAGAAGUGUUUUUCUACUUGGCUGAAAACAAUGUUGUGUUUGAGGGCAUCCUGCUUAAGCCUAGCAUGGUAACACCAGGAGCUGAGCACAAAGAGAAGGCUUCUCCUGAGACCAUUGCCAAAUACACACUCACAAUGCUUAAGAGAAGAGUACCACCUGCAGUUCCUGGAAUCAUGGUAUGAAUACCUGAAUCCUGCUUUUUAUCAGGAAUUUAAAGUGAGAUAGUGUUGCUCAUAUGUCAGUGUUUCUCUUCUUACAGUCGUGAAUUUAAAUCUCGAGAAUCUUUUCAAGUGCCCAUGGGCAAAUAUCUAAUUCUUUUUAUAUAGACUUGGUCUUUUCGCUGGUGAAAUGAGAUAAGAAAAAGACAAUAAUUAGUACUUGAGUUGUUAAAAUGAGAUAAUAAUAAUAAUAAUGAUGAUGAAAAACCUGAAAAAUCUUAAACAUUAGACCAUAUCUUAUGCUUAGGGUGUGUUGUUUUGUAAAUCAUCUAAAAUUGUUGCUGUUGUAUGUGAUCGACGAGUUUCAUGUGUUUUCAAUUUGAAUAUUACUGAAUCUUUAAGAGCAACUAGUGUAACUUGUGUUCAUUUGUCAGUUUUUGUCAGGAGGACAAUCUGAAGUAGAAGCAACUCUUAACCUCAAUGCAAUGAACCAAAUCCCCAACCCAUGGCAUGUUUCCUUCUCAUAUGCACGAGCGCUGCAAAACACUGUGCUCAAGACAUGGCAAGGACGUCCAGAGAAUGUGGAAGCUGCACAGAAGGCACUGUUGGUGCGCGCCAAGGCAAAUUCCUUGGCUCAGCUCGGUAAGUAUUCUGGUGAGGGUGAAAGCGAGGAGGCUAAGAAGGGAAUGUUCGUCAAGGGCUACACCUAUUAAGCAUCAUUUAAACAUAGCAUUAGAUUUAGAUAAGCUUUUUAAUUUUGUUUACCCUAGUCUUUUAAGACUAGAGGCUUGAAUAACACAUGUGGAAAGAACAGUUUUUCCGAACUGCUACCUUGGAAGAGAUGGUUUAGUGAGAGAGAAGAUAUGUAUUCUUAUCAUCCUAAAUUAUUGUUGUUGAAAUUUUAUGAAUUCUGAGUGAGAGAUUUGUUUUGACCAUGUUUUGUCUCUCUUUGUUUCGGUUGGUAAGCUAACUUGGUGCUUAUACUCCCAUUGAAACCAGUUGGGUUAUUAUAAUCUACAGUAGAAACAUUUGAAAAACAGUGUUCUCUUAAACAUAAAAUUUGUUUGUCGUCAUUUAUAGAGAAUUUUAACUAAUAUAUUUACGUGAAAAUGGAGAAUAUUAUGAAUAAUCCCUCUUUUCUUGGAUAUUUUCUUAUGAAACUUUGAAAAUAUAAAAAUAUUUUUUAUUAUUAAAAACACUUAUUAUUAUUAUUAUUAUUUAAUAAAAAAAAGUAGGCUGAUUUUAACUUAAAUAAAGAGAUCAAAAUAACUAAUUAGUCCGAAAAGUUUACUUUUUUAAGCUCUGGCGGAAAGUUCAAUCGGCAAUUUUAGGUCCAAUCUAUUUAAGGGAAGAUUUUUCCCAUCCCCUAUAAAUUAUUUCCCAUCUUCGUAUUUAAGGACAAAAAUUUAAUACUAUGUUCUAUUUAAUUUGAUUCAAUUAAACCAGAUCAUGUAUAAAAAUUAUUAAAUAUUAUAAAAAAUAUAUAUGUAUUUUUUGAUUAAAAAGGAAAAAAAACACGGCGCUAAAAAAAGUAAUAUCAAAAAAUACACAAACAUCUUCACAAAGAUAUACUAUCUUUUAAUAUUUAAAUUAUGUUAAAUUAAAACUUAUUUUUCUCAUUAUUUUUUAAAAAAUGAUUUAACUAGUGUACCUUGAAUUAUUAAUCUUCAAAAAAAACAUAUGCUAUACUAAAUAUCGAUAGAGGGAGCUUUAAUCUAAUAAAAAUAAAAUAUAAACUAAAUAAAAAAUUAUUAAAUUUUAAAUGUGGUGCGGCACGUAUUAAUCUUUUAAAAAAUAUAUUUUAAUUUAUUAAAAAAUUUAUUAACGAGUCAUUUAUUUUUUAAGUAUUAUAUUAUUUAGUUAUUAUAAUAUAAAAAAAAUUUAAUUUUAUAAAAAAUAUAAAUUAAUUAAUUUUUUCAAUUGAAAAUAUUAUAAACUUUUUUCGGUAUUAAUGUUGAAAAUUAAUUCAAAGGUUAAUUAAUAUAUUUUUUUAAAAUUAAAGGAUUAAUAAUGAUAGUUUUCUUUUAAAAAAACUAAAUAUUAAAUUUUUCUUAAUUUAUUUUGCCAAAAAAGUGAUUUUAGCUUUCCUUAUAGUCUAGUAGUCUAGUACCAAAGACGCAGAGUAGAAGGCAACCAUUACUGACUCAGUUACCCAAAACUCAACGACACCGGUAACCACCGGGAUCAGAAACCGCUUUUCUACCAAAAUACAAAACGACGAUACCUUCGUCUCACCUGCAUGCUCCCUCAUCCUGUUCAUCAUAUUCUCCUCAAUCCGCCUUCUCUGCAAUUUCCUUUCACUUCACAUCCCAAAACCCUAAAACCCUCACUCUCCCCUUCCUCUUCCACCACCGCCACCUCCUCCACUAUAGUAAUGAAGGACCGACCGCCUUCCUCGUAUGGUGCUGUCUAUGUCCCACCUCAUCAACGUCUGCGCUCCGUCAUCAACGCGUCUAAUUAUAGCUCCUCCUCUGCUGUCCCUGCUUCUCCAUUUGACUCUAAAGUCUCCAAAAAUCAAAGCUCCGUUUUAAGCCAUAUACACAGCUCUCGUGUACCUUAUUUCCAGCAGCAGCAAGAGAAACAGCGGGGGAACGGUGUUUGUGAUAGCAAUCAUGUUAAUAAUAAUAGUAAUAAUCAUAAGUUCGUUUCUGCAUACGACGAUGGGAUCUCUGAGGAGGGAUCCGAUCGGGAGAUGGAAUGCUCGAUGGUUAUGCAUGUAAGUGAUUUAUAUGUAAAAAUUAUGGUGAAUGUUCGUUGCAGCCAACUGUGGUAUGGAAAGAACCAAGCCACUGAUAUGGCAGAAAGAACAAUACUUUUUAGCACUUGCCUUAGUUGCCUUUGGUCUGUAGUAGACAUAUCCCAGUUGUGUGAUGUCUAAGCCAGUAUUUUUAUGCAUCAGAUGCCUAUGUUCUAAUGUUAAUUGCAAGCAUUCAUGGGAUGCUGGAGACCCUUCAAAAGAUGUUUAAAAUGGUUAUUCUUCAUUAUAUAUUUGUCUCUGAUAUGGGUCUCUCUCUCACUUUUGGUUCAUAUUUUUUAUACAAUUUGGUCAUUGUCAUUUUUAACAAUAUGCAAAUUAUUACAGCCUUUGGCCUAUACUUAUUGAAUACUCGUAUUGUGUUCUCUUUGUUGCUUGAAAGAUCUGUAGUUAAUUUUCUGAGGAUAAACAGAUGCUGUUUUUACCCUUUUCUUUUUUUCUUUUGGUGGUGAGUAUUUACUGUUUAAGCUGUCUUUGUCAGGGGGCUUUCCUUUCUGAUAACAUGGAAGAGUGGAGGCGGAAGCUAAUCAUGCUUUUGCGAGACAAGGAGAAGCAAGAGUUGGUCUCAAGGGAAAAAAAGGAUAGACGUGAUUUUGAACAAAUAGCAACUCUGGCAAGCAGAAUGGGUUUGUAUAGGUAUCUUGUGUUUCAUCAGAAUAGAUGCUUCAGUCUGUUAAAUUUCACCAAUGAUCUCAAUUGAAAUUAUUUUUGCAGCCAUCUAUAUGUAAAAGUUGUUGUAGUUAGUAAGGUCCCACUGCCAAACUACAGAUUUGAUUUGGAUGAUAAGCGUCCGCAGAGGGAGGUAUUUUCUCCUAGUACCAUCAUUUUAAAAAUUUUGCUUCUGGAUGAUAAAAUUUGGUGAUGCACCAUAGUAAUGCUUCUGUUACCUUCACAAGCAAGCUAUAUGUAGCUCAGACACUUGGACACAUUUGUUUAUGCUUUUGUUUUCCCAGCAGAAACUGCCUCUCCUCCUGCUCCACCUCUCCACUUGACAAUAUUGUAUGCUUCAAUAAAUUCCAAGCAAAUGAAUUUUAUUUUGAUUGAUUAUUUGAGUUCCAUUAUUAAACACAUGCAUGUUUUCAGAGGCCCCUUUGUCACAGGUUGCUUCUGCUCAGUCUUUUAGCAUGUACUUGAAAAUUCAUUGUCCUCCUGGGUUAGGAACCAUGUACUUAUUUCCCAUACGUUGAACUUGAGUAACUUUCUUGUAUAUUAUUCAUAAGCAUUUACUGAAUAUUUCAAAAAUUGGCAGGUGAGCUUGCCCUUUGGUUUGCAAAGAAGAGUUGAUUCAUAUCUUAGAGAAUAUCUCUUUCAAAAGUCCAAGACUAAGGAAAGAUUUCCAGAUAUUUCCUUUUCAAGAUCAAGCAGCAGCAGCAGUCUAGCUACUGAUGAAGGGCUUUUUGAACAACCGGAGCUGCCGGUUUCCAGCAAGGCUGUAAUGGAUAAAAUUCUAUGGCAGAGAAGUUUGCAACUGUGCAAUCAGCAACAGGCUUGGCAGGUUCGUGCUACCCUGAAAAAUAUGGAACUAUGUUAUAUUUCUGUUGUUCUCUGAACCUAUCCUUGUUUAACUUUUCUUUUUAAUUCAGAAACAAGCACUAUCUUGGGCAAUCAUGUCUCAUAGGUUACUUUGCAUAUAAUAAUAUUGCUUAGAAACUCUGGAAGGCUACUUAAUAUCGCCACUUCAGUAUUUUAAAAGCAUACGGCUUAGCUAGUCACACCAGAGGUGAUUUUUAUAAUUGAUCUCGUUUUACUUCAUUAUCUGCCUUAAGUAAAAUCCCAUGGAAAACAAUUUGAUGCUUUUUACAACCUUGAACUGAUUGAUCUGCUUAGGGUUUAAACUGGUGGUUACUUUUCUUCCAUGUUAUAAAAGGACAUAGGUUAUAUGGGGCACAUCAUGUCAAGUUUGAUGAAAGUGUUUUGCAGUUGAGGUUUGGACCUCCAACCUGGAAGGUGUGUGUAUUGUUGUCUAAAGCACUGCAAGGAGAAUAUCUGAUUCUGAUAGUAUGCUUCAUUGAUUUUUAUUGAAAUACAAAUUGGAUAAAUUAGAGGUGCUUUUUCCCUUUUUCUUUUCUCCAUUUUCCUCCUAAUCUUAAAUGACCAUGUUGAGAUACUUUCUGUAAAUAGGCUAGAUUUGCGGUUAUUGUGUGCUUAGAUUAUGUGAUAUGAUUGGGAUAUGAUUAGGCUAUAAUUAGGGAAUUGAUUUAUUUUAUUUUCUAUUGUAUAUUCUUAUAAGUAGUAUAUGUACCCCAAUUGAUUUGAGGGGAAUCAUCAAGCAUCUUUUCCUCAAAAAGUCCUUGAUUUCCUCUCUUUUUCAUCAUUGUUUCAUGGUAUUAGAGCUAAGAAACUUGGCCUAGCUGUGAGUGGCAACCUUCGUUUGGAGACUUUCUGAAAAUUAUUUGGUCUAAUCACCUAGCCCACCAGUCUCGCCGACUUUCAAUUGGCGACCCUGUGAAGCGCCGCCACCAGAAGCGGCUCCACGCGCCACCCAACCUUUCUAGCUCCGGUAUACGAGCUGGUGUGUGAAUAGUUCUCCGGCGAAUUUAACGCACGAUCCUUCCUCUAGCAUCGCUAGAGACCGGCGACUCUAGCCCACUCGAUCCGGUCACCUGCCCAGCUAUCCUUCACAUGUUCCUUGUGAACAGUAGCUUCGAAUCUAUUGUUCACGGUCACAGAUUCUUUUUUUUUUUUUCUCCUGCAGAUUCAGUUCCCAUGGCCCAAUCAAAUAUUGCUCAUUCUCAUAAUUCAUUUGCUUAUCUAAUCAAGUCUUUACUUAUUGGUUCAUGGAUCCUCGACUAUGGUGCUGGUGCUUCUGAUCAUAUUUCUGGUAAUCACAAUAUUUUCUCUACUCUUGUUUCACUUUCUACACCAUCUAAAGUCACAUUAGCUAAUAGUUUACAAAUUCAAGUUAAAGGGAUAAGUAACAUAUAUCUCCUUCCAUCCCUUCUAUCCUCUUGACUACUGUUUUAUUCACCCCUGCAUGUCCAUACAACCUAAUCUCUGUUAGCAAAUUGACUAAAGAUCUUAACUGUUCAGUCAUCUUUAUUGCUGAAUCUGUGGUUGUGCAAGACCGGAGUACUGGAAGAUGAUUGGAGCAGGAUAUGAGUCAUAAUGAUUGUACUAUUUUUUCACUUCUAACCCUCCAACUUUUUUGUGUCUACUACUUUCGCUGAACUCAUUCAUAGUCGUUGGGACAUCCAAGUCUGAACAAGUUACAAAAACUGGUUUCUAGUCUUUCUUUCUUGUCUUCUUUAGAAUGUGAGUCUUCUCAAUUUGGGAAGCAAAUUCGAGCUUCUUUUUCCAAGCGAGUCAAUAAUAAGGUCAUUUCUAUGUUUGAUAUUGUUCGUUCAGAAAUUUGAGUUCAACUCGGGUUAGUACAACUCAUAAAUUUCAAUAUUUUAUUACCUUUAUUGAUGGCUAUUUUCGUUGCACUUGACUUUUUCUAAUGAAGAAUCGUUUUGAGUUGUUCUCUAUUUUUAAGAAGUUUUAUGUCGAAAUCCAUAAUUAAUUUGGUGUUCGCAUUAAGAUAUUACGAAGUGAUAAUGCAAGGGAAUAUUUGUCUUCCUCAUUCACUCACUUAUUGUCUACUCAAGGUAUUAGUCACCAGACUUCUUGUUCUCAUACCUCAUAACAAAAUGGGGUUGCCAAGCGAAAAAAUCGGCAUUUGAUUAAAACAACUCGCAUCUUACUCCUACAUCACAAUGUUCCAUUACGUUUUUUGAGAAAGCUGUCUUUAAUGCUUGUUACUUGAUUAAUCGAAUGCCUUCCUCUGUUUUGCAGCAUCAAAGUCCUCAUUCUGUUUUAUUUUCUAAUCAGAAUUCCAACCAGUUAUCUUUGCGAGUUUUUGGAUGUGUAUAUUUUGUUCAUGAUCAUACUCCUAGCAAAGACAAACUCCAGCCCAAAUCAGGUAAAUGUGUCUUUCUCGGUUAUUCAUGGCUGCAAAAAGGUUACAAAUGCUAUGAUCCUACUACUAACAGAUAUUUUGUGUUUGCAGACGUUACCUUUUUUGAAAUCUCUCCUUACUUUUCUUCUAGUCCAGCAUACAAAAUCUUUGUUCCUAGAGUUUUGCCUAUACCUUUGACUCUUAUUUCUCCUUUGUCUCAAGUGUGUCCAUCUCUCACUUCUACGCCACCUCUUCAGGUCUACACACGUCGGCCUCAUCCAUCUGCUAAUAAUACUGAUAUUUUUUCCCCUGAUGCAGGUACUUCUAAUGACUCACUUCCUGUUCCAUAAUCACCUAUUUCGGUCAUGCCUUUAGCAGCAACAGCUACUCUUCCUCUUGCUCUUCGAAAAGGCAUUCGCUUUUCUCAAAAUCCUCAUCCCAUUUAUAAUUUGUGAGUUACUAUCGUUUGUCUCCUUCCUAUUAUAUUUUUAUUUCUACUAUGUCUGCUGUCUCUAUAUCCAAGACAAUUAGAGAAGUAUUGGAUCAUCUGGUUGGUGUAAUGCAAUAGUUGAGGAGAUGAUUGCUCUUUACAACAAUGGAACUUGAGAAUUUGGGAACUGGGAAACUGAUAUCCUUACUACCUGGCAAGUCUACUGUUGGUUAUCGAUGGGUUUACACAGUUAAGGUGGGACUUGAUGACAAAAUUGAUCGUUUUAAAGCUCGUCUUGCAGCUAAAGGUUACACAGAUUUUUAGGCUUGAUACAGUGAUACUUUCUCUCCGAUAGCCAAAAUAGCUUAUGUUUGCCUCCUUAUUUCAUUGGCUGCAAUUAAACACUGGACCCUUCAUUAAUUGGACAUUAAAAAUGUCUUUUUUUCAUAGUGAGCUCGCCGAAGAAGUUUAUAUGGAGCAACUUCCCAUGUUUGUUGCUCAGUUAAGGUGGGAUCUGAUGGCAAAAUUGAUCAUUUAAAAGCUUGUCUUGUAGCUAAAGGUUACACAGAUUUUUAGGCUUGAUUACAGUGAUACUUUCUCUCCGAUAGCCAAAAUAGCUUAUGUUUGCUUCCUUAUUUCAUUGGCUGCAAUUAAACACUGGACCCUUCAUCAAUUGGACAUUAGAAAUGUCUUUUUUUCAUAGUGAGCUCGCUGAAGAAGUUUAUAUGGAGCAACCUCCCGUGUUUGUUGCUCAGAGGGAGUCAGGCUUAGCAUGUCGUCUUCGACACUCUUUGUAUGGUCUAAAACAGUCUCCAAGAGCAUGGAUUGGACGAUUCAACAUUAUAGUUCAAAAGUUUGGAAUGUCUCGAAGUAAAUCUAAUCAUUCUGUAUUUUUUUUGUCAUAAUGGUGAUUGAUGCAUCUAUUUGGUAGUAUAUGUUGAUGAUAUUAUCAUUUCUCAUGCUGGAAUCUCUCAGCUUAAGCAACAUUUUGUUCAGACAUUUCUAAAUUAAAGACCUAAAAAAAUUGAAAUAUUUUUUUGGGAUUGAAGUGGCAUGGUCUAAAACAAGUAUUGCAAUUUCUCAACGUAAAUAUGUUUUGGAUAUAUUGGAAGAACAUGCAUGCUAGAUUGUAGACACGUGGAUACUUUCAUGGAUCCAAAUGUCAAACUUGUUCCUGAAAGGGGAGCCACUUAAAGAUUCUGCUAGAUAUAGAAGAUUUGUUGGCAAGCUCAACUAUCUCACUAUCGCGCGACCAAAUAUUUCUAACUGUGUGUAGUCAAUUUCUUCAAACCCUAUAUAGCAGUCACUGGGACGCAGUCAUCCGCAUUCUUAGAUAUAUCAAAGGAGUUCUAGGACAGUUUAUUUUAUGAGGACAAGGGUCACUCACAAAUUGUUGACUAUUUUGAUGUAGAUUAGGCAGGUUCCCCUAUUGUAUUAUGAUUGGAGGGAAUUUUAUAUCUUGAAAAAGUAAAAAAAAAAGGGCUGUGGUUGCAAGAUCAAGUGCAGAAGCGUAAUAUGGAGCUAUGACUUUGGCAACAUGCGAACUCAUUUGGUUGAAGCAACUCCUUUGGGAAUUGAAGUAUAGCAACACCGGCCAAAUGAAGUUGAUAUGUGAUAAUCAAACAGCUCUCCAUAUUGCAUCAAAUCUAGUUUCUCUCAUAAUCUAGUUUUUCAUGAGAAAACGAAGCAUUUAGAGGUGGAUUGUCACUUUAUUAGGUAAAAGAUUCAGUUGGGAUUAAUUUCUACUAGUGUUGUCAACUCAAAUGAUCAACUAGCUGAUGUUUUUCAUAAAAUCUCUUUGAGAUUCACAAAUUGAGUAUAUUUGUAACAAGCUUGGAGCAUAUACACCCCAACUUGAGGGGUAGUAUUGAGAUACUUUCUAUAAAUAGGCUAGAUUUAUAGUGAUUGUGUGAGACUAUAAUUAGGGAAUUGAUUUAUUUUAUUUCCUAUUGUAUAUUAUUGUAAGCAGUAUAUAUACUCCAAUUGGCUUGAGAGGACCCAUAUAUAAGAUACUGCAUGCGUGUAUUAAUAUUUGAUCAAUUUCUCUAUUGUUCACUAUUAUAUUGAUUUGAUAAAUUAUGAAGUUCAUAUUAAUAGAGUGGAGGAAACAAUUUGCAUAUCUUCUAAAAAAGCCCCUCUUCAAAAGCUAAAUGAAGGACAUUGCGAAGAGGCCCUGAACACUCUGUUGUCGCACAGUAAACGCUAUGUUAGUAAUAUUAAAGCUUUUUAUGAAUAGAUAACAUGAAUUUAGAAUAUCUCAAAAAAAAAAGAUAACAUGAAUUUAGAAGAAAAUGCUAUUUUAGAAUUAGUUUUUGUCAAGCAAAAAGGGGAAAGAAAUUUGGGAUUUUUGUAUAAUAAUGUAAAAUUUAUUUAUAUACCACCUUUUCAUUUUUAUUCUGAUUAUAUUAAAUUUAUUAUUUCAUGCAAAACUUGGAUGUUAAAAUGUCUUUUCAGGUUUUAAGUCAAUCAGUCUUUUCUAUCAUUCUUUCUGAUUGCCAAUCUUUAAGUAGGUACAGUUUAAUGUUUUAAUUUUAGGAUUCUCCAGAAGGCAGAAAAAUGCUGGAAUUUCGGAAAAGUCUCCCUGCCUAUAAAGAGAAAGAUGCUAUCUUGACUGCCAUUUCACAAAAUCAGGUAUGAAAAGUUUACUAUAUUGUUCUUUUUAGUAGUUCUUCAUGCUGACUUUUUGUGGACAUCUAGGUUGAAUUUAGAUGGCUACUUUGUUUGAGAAUUGAGCAUAUUAAGUCUGAGUUGGAUCUCAAAAUGGCUAUGCGCUUUCCUUUUAUAAUCAAUAUUAUGCAAGUAUCAGUUCAUUAUUUUAUGAUGCCUAGAAUUUUGAAUUUUGCAGGUGGUCAUUAUCUCAGGUGAAACUGGUUGUGGCAAGACCACACAAAUUCCCCAGUUCAUAUUAGAAUCUGAGAUAGAAUCUGUCCAAGGAGCUGGUUGUAGUAUUAUAUGUACACAGCCAAGACGAAUAUCUGCCAUGUCUGUUUCUGAACGAGUUGCUUCAGAGAGAGGGGAGCAGUUGGGUGAAUGUGUGAGUGCUGUCUCAAACAUGGUCUGGGAUAAUUUCCCAGAUUACCACCUUCUGUCAAUAAGAUCUUGAAAGAUAAUUGAAUAUGAUCUUUUUCUGUUCUUAUCUUUAAAGGUUGGAUAUAAAGUUCGGCUUGAAGGUAUAAGAGGAAGAGAUACUCGCCUUCUGUUCUGCACCACAGGCAUCUUGCUGAGAAGAAUGCUUGUUGAUAGAAAUUUGAGGGGCAUAACUCAUGUUAUUGUGGACGAGAUUCACGAACGUGGAAUGAAUGAGGGUAAACUGUUAGUUCUGAGUUGAAUUUUGUGAAUGGAGGAUAUGUUUUCCUCUAAUUUAAACUUCUUUUCUUUAUUCACUAUUAGAAAUUUCUUCAUUUAUCUUAAAAAUAAAGUGAACUGCACUCUGAGCCUUACCAUGAAGCUUUGAUGCCAGACUUUCUGCUUAUUGUCCUUAAAGAUCUCCUUCCCCACCGGCCAGAACUGAGGCUGAUUCUGAUGAGUGCAACCCUCGAUGCAGAGCUUUUCUCAUCCUACUUUGGUGGAGCUCCAAUACUUCGCAUUCCAGUAAGUGUAAAUGAAUAUGCCUUAUUUUAUAUUGUUAGCGCAAGCAUAUUCUGUUUAGUACUCAUGAUGGUUUCUAGGCAAAUUUGUAGUGACAUCCUCCAUCUACAUGUUGAUAGCAUGUGAAACGUGAAUAUUGUCUGUUGGUGGGAUGCCUGGAGUUUGAUCCUUGGGCUAUGCUCGAACUAAAAUAUUUAUUAAAACAUCACCUAAUGAUAUGAAAACUUUUCCCAUGGAUUUGUGAUAAAACUAAUCUAAUAUAUAUAAAGCAGGCCAAUCACUCUCCUGGUGCUGCCACUUGGUUGGCAGUGGCAUUUACUGUAAAGAUAUUGACCAGCUUUAAUAAUUAGUUAGUUGUUAUCUAUUAUGCUAGGUAUUUAAUUCUAAUUUUUUCUUUUUAGUAUCAUUAUUAUUGCCAUUACUACCUAGAUUUUCUUGAUUUAAAUGAUUCCAAAAAGGUCUUUGUAAUUAAAUUUAUCAUUUAAAAUUUUAUUACAAUCAAAUUUAUUAUUUAACAUUUUAUUGUAUUGCUCUUUUUUCUUAAAAGGCAAAGAUAGAAAUAUAUUGUUUGCUCUUUAUUGUUCAUCAAUCCCACAAUACACGUAUAUUUAUCUUGCAUCUUUGUUUUUCAUUUAUCAUUUUUUUUUUCUCUUUCACGAGUUCUUAAUACUCUUCAUCAAAUGUUGUGCAUUAAUUUUGUAUGCUUAGUGAAUAAAUCUUUACUAAUAUCAGUUAAAAUCACAUUUUAGUAAAUUAAUUUUGGUUGGGAUUGAUAAUUUAAAUAAAUAAAUAUGAAUUAAGAUUUUUGGAACUCAUAAUUAUUAUAUUUGGUAAACAUAUUUUCAUUUAAAAUGUAAUUGAUGAAUAUUAUAUAUAUAUAUAUAUAUAUAACAAACUACAAAUUGAAAUAUCAAAAUUAAGGUAACAAGAUUGGAAAAAUCCAAUUUAGAGUUUAUUUGAGUUGAGGUGAGACUAUCAAAAUUAUAAUGCGAUCAAUUUUUAUAAUCAUAAAAAUUUUAUUAAUAUCAAAAUUGUUUUACAUGAUGAGAAUAGUAGAUAUAUUAAUUAAUUUUAAUUAUUAAAUUUCUAAUUAAGUUCCUAUUGAACAGUUAUUAAUUCUUUUUUGUAUUUCAAUUAAUUAUAAAAUUUAAGAAUUUAUACUUUAAAAUUGACAACAAAUUUAAAAUUAUAUUUACAAAUAUAAUUGUAAAUACAUUCUACACUCCACAAACAUUUAGCUAGUUCAAGCUUAUAGAGAUGCCAAGUUGUUCCUAUUUUAAUUUCAUAUAUUUCAUUUAUUGGGAUGUCCAUCAUGUUCUUAGAUUGGUUGGGCUAUGCCUGGUUAUCUAAUGCAUCUACAAAUUUCAGCAUUUAAACAUAUUAUUAUGUAUGCGUCCGAUUUGUUUAAUUUCUGGAAAAAGUUAUACAGGAUCCUGAGGAUGACAGUGUGGUCUAAUCAGGGGUAUUUUUCUUCUUUGUGGUUUUAUUGUCCAAUUAGGGUUUUACAUACCCAGUUCAAACUCAUUUUCUGGAGAAUAUCCUGGAAAUGACCGGUUACAAAUUAACCUUACACAACCAAAUUGAUGAUUAUGGCCAAGAGAAGGUGUGGAGGACAAGUAAACAAGCUCCAGGAAAGAGGAAGAGCCAAAUUGCUUCUUCUGUUGAGGUAUAGGAAGUUAUCUUGGAUGGUAUUGCUGCUUUUGCAAUAUUCAGUCUUUCCUGAUUUCUUUUCUCAUUUUGGAAACAUGUAAUCAGGAAGCACUAAGAGCUGCUGAUUUCAAGGAGUAUAGUCCCCAAACUCGAGAGUCUUUGUCAUGUUGGAAUCCAGAUUGCAUUGGUUUUAAUCUCAUUGAGUAUCUUUUAUGUAACAUAUGUGAGAAUGAGAGGCCUGGUGCUGUUCUAGUCUUUAUGACUGGGUGGGAUGACAUAUGUUCUCUGAAGGAUAAGCUCCUAUCACAUCCUAUUUUAGGAGAUCCAAGUCAAGUAUUGUUGCUCACUUGUCAUGGUUCUAUGGCUAGCUCAGAGCAGGUAAAUUUCUUAUUUCAAUUUAAUUAUCCAAUUGCUUAUUUCAAUAAUUGCUUAGUUGUUUGUAAAGUAUGUGUUGUAGCAAAUUAAUAACCGACAACUAAUGCUUGCUAUAAUUAAUAUUUAUCUGCAAAAAAAGCAGUAAUAACAAGGUGGUAUUGCUUAUUUUGCUGCUUCUUGCUUUGAUGUUUUUGUUAUUUUAUUAUUGUACGGAAAAUUUCAUCCUGUUUCUACUUUUGUGUUUCUUUCUGAGAUAAUUUUGAGAAUGAUUUUUCUGGCCGUCUCCAGAGAUUAAUAUUUGAUGAGCCCAAUGAUGGUGCGAGGAAAAUAGUGCUAGCUACUAAUAUUGCUGAGACAAGCAUCACAAUCAAUGAUGUUGUUUUCGUACUCGACUGUGGAAAGGCAAAGGAGACUUCAUAUGACGCCCUGAAUAAUACUCCUUGCCUGCUUCCUUCCUGGAUUUCCAAGGUUUCUGCUCAACAAGUAAGGUCUUCUUAUGUUGGGCUUUUGAUCUAUAAGAUGGAUUCAAUUUUGAUUAUUGAUGGUCUAGUCAUGUCAUUGAAAUAAAUAGUGCAAUGCAGGGAUCUGUGGAGGCCUGUGUUUCAUGAAGUUGCUUUAUUCUACAAUAGUAAGGCUACUAGAGCCAAAAAAAAAAAAAGUGAUUUGUACUUCCUCUUGCAUACACACUUGUAAUCCAAAAAAAAAAAAACAAGUUGGUGGGUGGUUGCAGAGAUAUAGUCAAAUUUGUCUAGGACCUUCUUUCUACAGGUCAUUUUGAUUAUUAAGAUAGAAAUAGAAACACAAGGAGAUUAAAAAGUGGGAUAUGAGGAUUACUGCAAGUAACUAAGAAAACAAUCCAAAUAUAUGGACAUGUUCAUAUUAUAAUUAGGCCAAAAAAAAAAACUACGUUGAAAGCCAUAUAGAAGUCAUAUAGUCAGAUCAACAUCUAAGUGUAUUUGUAACAUUUAGCUUUGCUUAUUUAUAUUGUCUUGUUAUUAACUGUUCUUUGUAGAAUAUUCAGUGUCUUCAUAUAAUUUUUUCUGGUCCUAAUUAAAAUUUUCAUUUCUCCCACAGCCCCGCCAAACAAACAUAAGUUAUUUACGAUCACCUGAUUGUAAACUGUUUUUAUGGUUGUGCAAACUUUUGCAUAUUAAAUCAUGCAGGGAUCAAGACUGUUUAAAUGGUGGUGCUAACUGUAGACUUUACAUGAACUAAGGGUUGGAAUGAUGUGCUUCGAUCAUAAUCAAAAUUUAGCUUCUAUCAUCUUGUUGAAAACUAUUUCUGUGGUCAUGCAGUUUUUUGUGAGUUGCCCACACUACUGGCUAAAAUGGUUCAAGGAUUUCAUAGUUCAAAGUUCCUCCUUAGAUCAACUAUAAAUGAGGCCCUCAAAAGAUUAGAUUAGAGCAAAAAUAGUUGGUCUACUGGCCCCUUCCUUUUCAACUAUAUCAUCCAAUUUCACAUUUGAAUCAAUUUGGUUGCUCUACCCAGAUCCGCGUACAUCCAGUGCCUUCAGGUUCUGGUGUUAAUGUAGCAAGGGCUAGUGCUGUUAAGCACUAUUUGCUCCGUCUGGCCAUAAUUGAAACAAGAUGAUUGAUUGACAGUGUAACUGAAAUGAAAAAAGAGGUCAAAAUUGAAAAUCCAGCUAAAAGUUUGGAUUUUCAGGUUAGAAACUCAAGAAAAGGAAGUGAAAGAAGCUUGAGAGAGGAAUAACCCCUCUCUCUCUCUCUCUCUCUUUCUCUCUCUAUUGGAGAUUUGAUGUGCUUAAUGAGAUCAUUUCUGGUUCGUGGUAGAAUUUUUAUUAUGCUUUAUAUGUUUGUAUCAUUCUUAAAUGGUACCAUCAAGGCACAUAAACUUGACUAUAUAUUGCUUUUACUGCAUAUACUGUAG
rnacentral:lncRNA from 1 species